rnacentral:lncRNA from 1 species
UCAGUUUGUAUAAUUUAUUAUAAUUUUCCAUAUCUUAGUAGCACAAGGGUUUGGCACAUGAAAGUACAUUGUAUCCAUCAUUUCCAUAGCAUUCACCAUUCGCAACAGCACCAUAUGGAACGGUCGCAAUGACUUUUUUCAAAGUUGUAACCACGCCAUUCACAGCUAAGCUUGCACAUAGCAACAUUGUUGGGCGUUGGUAUCUGGCAUGCUCGGAAAGGAGUACACGAAGUCCACAAUCCAGUUGUACCUACAAACAACAAGGUAUAUAUAGCAUCCCCGUUCAUAUUAGCAUAUGUAGUAUAAGUUGCAUGAGUUUAGAUUAUAUGAAUAUCCAAGGUACAUCAUACAUAAUUGGACUAUUGUAAACAUAAACAAAGAGUGUACCUCUGUUUAUCGUAGUUGCUUGACAUGACCAUAAAGUGCUAGACAUCAUCAGAAGAACUACGAAACAUAUAGCCUAUGUGUUGUUCUUGAUAGGUGCCAUGAGGAGUGGUUUCUUAUUCCUUUUUCCUCCUAUACCUGUAUUCUUUAUGGGCGAUAUCUCUCAACCUAUAUUUCUUAUUGUGUUAUUUAUUAGAGGCAUAAAUCUCGAAGGACCCAUUCUUGCUCUUAUAUUAUUUCUCACAUUUAUGUUUUGAUCAUCAUGUGUUUAUAUAUAGUCACUUGAUGUCCGCAAGGUCACUAUAGCAUUUAGAUAUGAUAUAUCAAAAUAUAUCUUGUGGAGAACAUGUUACUAAAUGCAACCUAGAUUUUGAUAUUUGAAAUUAAUCACUACUCUGAAAUACCAUACAUAUAGCACAUUAAGUUGUGCCCCCGCAAAAAAAGCAUAUUAAAUAUGUAUCUUCAGUAGUAGUUGUUCUAUCAUGUAGCAUAGUAGACCCAUGUAAGAAAAACAUAUCGGAUAAUAAUCACAACAUUAUUUCUUUAGGAUUCCACAACAUUAAACCAUUAUAUUAUGUCUUUAGCACUCAAUGUAACAAGCAGAAAAGGCCACCCGAAAUAGUUAGAAAUAAGCCUGUAGAUAACCUCUACUACCGGGUUUUGCAUGCACGCAGUUUGCAAAAGGGACACGAAAGAAAGUUGACCCCUUUUUCUUUGAGCAAAAAAACCCUUGUCUUGUGGGCAGAGAUAGGCCCAGAUACACAAGGCCGCAACACGGGGCUUGAUUAUAUUUACGACAGAUAUGUUCACUAGCCCACCAACUUGCCUUUCCUUCGCUUCGAGGUUUUCUUAGUGGAAUUCCCUAUUUGCCGCUCAUUACGUCGAACUGUCGAUGCAAAGCACAGAGCUGGGGAUUGAAGCGCUCACAUGGGCCGGCCCGUUAAUCAAUUGGGUCACUUUCUGGUUUUGGGAACCUUCUAGAGUUUCCUAGCCGAGUUUUUCUGGUUUUGGGAAACUUCUAGAAGGUUCCUUGAACCGUAUUUCUUUUUGUCGAUAUUUCUGUUUCUUUUUUUUUUCUUUUUUUAUUUCUUUUCAUUUCCUUUUCUAUUUCUUUUUUUUCAUUUCCUUUAUAUUUCAAGUCCAUUUUUUUAAAACAAAUCAGGUUUCAAAUUUUGUUCAGAAACUGAAAAAAAAUCGUACUUUUACAGUAUUUUCAAUUUUGUAAAAAAUUUCGUGCUUUCAAAAAUUGUUCAUAAAUUCAAAUAAUGUUCGCAUUUUCAAAAAAUUGUACGGGCAUUUCAAAAAGUGUUCCCAUUUUCCAUAAAUUGUUCAGAAUAUUUUUUUUAUUUUUUGUAACUUUUCAAAUAAUGACUGGGAUUUAAAAAAUGUUUAUGUUUUAAAAAAUUGUUCUUGUUUCCAAAUUUUGCUGACAUAUUCAAAAAUGUUCAUGUUCCAAAUUUGAUUGGAAUUUUUAAAAUUGUUCUCUGUUUCUAACUUUGGUCUAAAAAUGUUCUUGUUUCCAUUUCUGUUUCUUUCUUUGUUUCUUUUUAAUUUUUAUGUUUUUUUCGAAAAAAUUUCAUUUUUCAAAAAUUGUUCGUAACCUUUAAAAAGUUGUUCCCACUUUUAAAAAACGUUCAUUUUUUUAAAAAUGUUCGUGUUUUCCAAAUUUGUUCAUAAAUUCAAAAAAUGUUUGCAUUUUAAACAAAAUGUUUUGGAAUUUAAAAAAUGUUGCCUUUUAAAAAAAGGUUUGUCUUUGCAAAUGGCAACCCCUCGCAAUGAACGUUCGCCAGCUAUUGCAGUCUAAAAGAUGAUGUGUCCAGAUCUGUAGUCUGAAGAGGUGUGAGCGUUUUGUAAAAUAUUGACAAUUUUAAAAACUGCACACGAUUUUGUUUACAAGAUUUUGACAAAUUUGAUGUAUUUUAGUUUUAUUUGAAAUAAACAAAUAUUUUCCUUUUAGGGGAAAGUGAAAACCUGUAAAAGCAUAUAAAAUCACUAGAAACACAUAGCGUCAUUUAGGAGCUCCCUUUGCUGAUCUGUUGCAAUAUAGAUCUUGAGUCAUCUUAUAACUCACUCACUGCAAUGUUAUUGAUGGCAAAACGCACAUGGAAAAAGGAUUUCCUUCUUGAGCCACGUGGCUCAGAUCGCUCCCAAUUUUCUUUCUCUUUUUUUAUCCAGAUUUCCGUCAGUUUAAACCAAAAAAUAGCUCUCUUGCUUAUGUAGUUAAAUUCAAAAAAUAUCAAACAGUGAUAUAAAAGUACAUGAUUUUACAUGAAUAAUUAAACUGUUUGUGAAUUUUCAAAAAUGAUCUUGAAUUAACAAAAUGUUCAUAGGUGUAAACAUAUGUUCUUCUUUAUAAAAAUGCUUAGGAAUUUAUAAAAUUGUGGAAUUUAUAAAAAUACGAAAUUCAAUAAUGUUCUAUAAUCUUCAAAAAAUGUUGGUGUUUUUAAAAAACACGUAUUUCAACAAUAAUUGUAGUUUGAAAAGGAUUAUGUAUUUCAUAAUAUAUUCUUUAAUUUCAAAAUUGUACAUAAUUUUAAUAAAUGUUCAUGAAGUUGAAAUUCAUAAAUAAAAAUAAAAAGUAUAGAGAAAAAUCAGAUGGAAAUCCUAGAAAACCACAAGAACAUGGGGCGUGAUGUGCACUCUACCUAUGCAUUAAUCGAAUACUUUUUUGCAAUGAGCGACAACUACAUUUUACAAUGGCUUGCUACACGCAUGAGCUGUUGCUCCCAUGUCCUAGUAGAUCGGGAUCGCGCCUUGACGCGAGGGUGCCGGUCCCAAUGUUUUGCCGAAGCACUAUUUUAGUAUAAACCCAGGUAUAGUAUUUGCACUUAUAUAGAAUAAUAAAGCAAAUUUAGAUAGAAGUAAAACAAAAUGAAUCUCAAUACCGACAUGAGAUUAUAAGGCAGGAUCAAACUAAGUGUGUUCAUAAGACCAUAAAAGAUGGCCACUCAACAUAAAAUUCGAUACCAAAAGCGAGAAUACAUAAAAGGUAAUAAGAACAAGAAGAUAAUAAAGGAGAGCCAAUUGUGGAGCCAUAACCACUAAGCAUACGGGAGGAGCUCCAUUGUGUUAGCCACCUCAGUCUUGCGAUGCUUGGCAUCCUGUAGCCACCUCUUUCUUCAGAUUUUGGAGCCUCUUAGAAUAUAUAAAUGGUAUAGGUGCCCUGUCAAGGAAAAAAAAUAGAUAAAUACAGAUUGUGUGUCUUAUUUUUAUUGUGGUGUCAAUCGAGGAAAAAGGAUGAUGCACGACUACAGAACACCAAACUACAAUCCGAUGAUCAACCAACUAUACAAAUCAUAGAGGGAUCUCCUGGGCACUAAGCCCUUAUAAAAGGGUUUCAAGGUAUCCACUUUAUCACCAGCCUACAAAUAAAAUAUAUAAGGUGGGGGCAAGGGAAGGACUAAAAUAAAAAGAAGUACUCGCUUGGUAAUGCAUACUGGAAAGACAUGUUGCUGGUAAGGAUCUCCUCUACUCAGGAAAAAUAAAAAGAUAGGAGGCGCGUGGUGCCUGCCUCAACAUAUUGUCCAUGUGCUUAAACAAAGCAUUUAGUGUUGUCAAAUGGGAAUUAGAACGAUUGCUUGGGAUGAAUCAGCCCUUGCCAAAUGGAAACUAAAAUAAUUGUGCAGGAUAGAUCAACCCAAUACAGUAAGUUUAGAUCAAUAGCAAUACAGAAGGGUGAGACAGCCUGUUAUACCAAAAGUAAGGCAAGCCAGAAGUUCAUGACAAAGGGGAGACAUAUAUUUGGUGGCAAAAGUAAGCCAAAAUGAUGGGUUCUUGUUAAGUAGAUAAAAUAGUUGGGUUAUUAGAUAGCGAAAGCAAGCCAGAGUAGCGAAUAAGAUUCCUAUAUAGUUUUAACAAUCCUAUGUAGUUCUGCUAUAAUUAAAGAACCAGUGAUGCAUCAAUAUAACUAAUAUACAGUAGUUAACAUGAAGAAUGCCGAGCAGUGCCCUUUUACAAAAGGAGAGGACAAUCAGAUGUUCGCAUAACACAUCACAGCAGCUAGUGGUAUGACACAUCGUUUGGAAGUUAUUGGGGCCAAAGCCAACCAUAUAGCUAAGAGAAAAAGCGCCUGCACAUGAAGCAUUGUCACUAACCCUGAAUGAAGGGUUCUACUUUCAAGUGUUUGUGAAGAACAUGGUGUAUAAGUCACAGCCCAGGAUCACCGCGACACUUUAAUCUCAACAUCAAUACACUUCCAAUACCACUAAGGGAAAAUAGAGUUAAAAUUCAUGUGAGAACAAAAUAGAAACAACUGUGGUCAAAAUGCAUAAUCCUUGCUCAAAUCAAAUUGAUAAUCACCAGAUGGUAUAUAUUUUGGCUCCCUCCCAGAUCAAAUUAAUUUACACUUAUGGAGGAUUGUUAUUAACAAAGUAACCGACAAAGAAGUGAUCGCCAGUUGCACUGUCUACUUAUGUCUUUAUGAAUGCAAAUGCAAGUGGAAGCUACCAAGGUUCGGUAAAUAGGGAUUGACCAGUAGCUUUUUUCCGAACUGGAAGGAACAAAGUCUCACUUCUAGCCAAACCGAGUGGAGAGCACAUCCUAUCAUUCUUUUGAUCUCUAGAUUUCAUCCAAUUGAGAUUUUCAUUCCGUCAUUUCAAGGAAAUGGUGUACACCAAUUUAAGAAGUUUAGGAGUAUGUCCUAAAAGAAGUUUCAGGUGUGCAUAUCGUUACAAGCUUGAAAUACUGACAUAAAAGCUUGAAAUAUGAGAUUGUGCAUGUAGAAAUAAAUAAGAAAUUAUAUGUCAAACAAAUUUAUGUUUUCUGCCAUUCCAGAAAUUCUAAUUUCUUAAUGAGCCGACUUGCAUACGUCUCUCUCCGAAGGAAAGACCAUUUCUAAUUACAGAAAAGGGAUAUGUACAAUGGUAGACAUAUGUGUUGGUCGAUAAUACCUCAAAUGGCGCACCACUAAGAUUUUCCAUUACCAGCUUCUUAUGGAUCAGUGAUACAGAGCUCUCUGCUUGUGCCUGGCUUGGCAGCUUCCUCUAGACCAGCAAUAAAAUUAAUAGAUUAAGAGAGUACCUCAGCAAACUCAAGAUUAAUUUAUACUCCAUAAACUAAUAUAAGUUCAGGGAGGUAGUACCUAAACAGAUCCAUAAAAUCUUUUAUUCUUUCCAGAAAAUGUAGAAUUAUCCAACAUGUAAGGGGUGAACCACCAUCACGACACCAGCAUCUAGAAUAAGUUGAUUUGCAGAAGCAUUGCCACUAAGAAUAAUGCAUAACAAUGAUUUUUUUUCCCUACAUAUAAGGGGAGGCCUCAAACUUAAUCCUUUACUUCCAUAGCACAUCAUACAAUGCCCCCUUAAAAGAGUUCUUCGAAAUAGCAUGCAAGCUCCAUAUCGAAUGGGGAGCAACGGAGGAGGCCACCCGCGACCAUGGCGUCCGACCAAGGCAUCGUUGUUCCGUCCAGCUCGGCCAUGUGCGGGGCGUGACAUCAUUGUGUAGGUACCGGUGGUCGUCCUCAUCCAUGGAGGAUUCCUGCUGCUCCGAUUCAAAGAAACAAGUAAGGGGAUCAAUCAAUCCAUGGAGAGAAGGAAGACAAGGAGACACGCACGUACACAUACUGCUGCUAGUAUAUAAAGAAAUCAACCAAGCCGUAUGUGUGUGUGCUUGAGUACGUGUGUGGUUGGGCUCCUGGAGUACACGAGCUAGUGUUCUAAUUAAACUGAAAUAGAGCAUGCCAUAGGAGAGCAACCUAGAGCACAGAGCAUGCCACAAGAAAGCAACCUAGAGCAGAGCAACUAUAACUUGGAAAAAUCUCACAACCGAGAGAGAGGGAUGGACCUAGUUUGUCAAUCUACCAUGCAUCGUUACUCUAUAAUUUAUAGAGCUGGCAGCCUAACAUGCUACUGCCAUCAGCGGUAACCAAUGAAAUUAGAAAAGCACCGAAACUACUAAUUCUAACCAAAGAAGUUUGAGGAACAUAUUUCUCUUUGUUUUACAAUCUGAAAACGGCUAUUCUGGAGUGUGCAGUGGUCACUCAAAAUAAAGAAUACAUAUACCUGACCUGCGAAAAACAACUGGCACAACGCAAUGGUCCUUAAUCGGUUAUCCAUAAUAUAGACAAACAAAUAUGAAUCAGGAACCAAGCAGUUUAAUUGGUUGCAAAUUAAAGGACCCUUAGAAUCCGCUUUUAGAUGGCAAACAAUAAACUAUGGCAAUAAAAAAUCAGUAGCCAAAACCCAUAGGACGGAUAAUAGCAUCAGUCAUUCCUUCAACCAAAGCAUCAUAUAUCAUCGAUCUACAUUAUAAGGAGAACUAUGUAUGAGAAUGUGAACCAGAGUUAUACCCCUUGCAUCAUGUAAUUCUUUGGAGUUAGACUCUUUCAAAAUAUUAUCACACAGGGUGCCCAAAAAUAUAUAUUACCACAAUACAUCUAUUCAUCCAUUAAUAAUGAAAAUACUAAUACAUAACUUCCACCUAGAGUAGCAUGGAAUUGCACAAAUAAUACAUAGCAAGAGAUUCAUUAUUUCAAUGCAUGAUAAGUUACGAAAUAGAUCAUCUAAACAAACAAAAUAAUGUUUGUUUGUGCCACUUAUUAUUACUGUUAUCGUGGUACCCACAAUAAGGUGGAAAUGUUAGCUUAUUCAAGGGGGGCCUACAAACUUCGAUCCCAUGAUGGCUAAAAUGGUUUUGGAUCAAUGAAGCUUACAACUGGUAAAUCAGGUGAGCUAGUAAGUAUGGCAAACGAAAAUCAAAGUAGAAUGAUCCCAAAAUGUCUUUUGUUACACUAUUACAAAGCAAGUUAACCGAUCUUAGAUCUUGUGACCAUGAAUCCAAACCUCUACUGAUUACUCUUAAAUUCAUAUCAAAGUGAAGAGAGCUAAUUAUUUAUGUGUGGCGCAUUCAGAGAAUUGAUGUGGCUAUUCAUAAAAUCAAAAUUAAGAUCCAUUCUCUCUAGAAGUAACUAAAAUGAAAGAGGAACAGAGAAUAAUAUCUUGUGCCAGAUUGGGAUUAAUGCACUGAUGAGAGACUCGAACAAUGAAACACAUGCAAAAAUGUUCUCUUGAUGCCCAUUUACUCCUAGGAGUACUACUGAACCUAACUGAAUUUAGGAGUAUUUACAAAACCUAGUAGUACUACUGAACCUAAUCGAACCCAAGUGCAUGUGUGGUGUACUAAAUGUAGGAGCUGCGUGUUUGUACUCCAUGGAUGCAAAUCAAAGGAGUUGGAGCCGUGUGUUUGUACUCCAUAGACGUAUUAUAAACUUUGUAGUCCAUGGGAAAUGAACAUAGCUGCAAAUUAAGAAAAACAAAGCAGUCGAGGAGAGAACGAGCUCACCUAUGAGGUUGCAGCCGAGGCAGUAGCACAGCUCGUCGCUGCAACUGAGCUCGACACGCUACCUCCAUGUGUCCGGCCUUUUCCGCGAGUUGCCCCAUGCGUCCAGCCUCCUCCGAGCACUGUCUCCUCACAAACAAGUAGGGGUAGAAAAAACAUGAAUUGUAACUUAUCAACCGAGCGGCAGCAACAAUCAGCGACAUAUCACCGAUCAACAACAGGACACUAACCGAAAAACGCAGCCAAUAGCAAAAUCAGGAGCAGGAUAAAACUAAUAAUAUAAUGAAAAGAAUGCCCACAAGAGAAGCAUGCACAAUCCUAUGAAAUCAGAAUCAAUUAGUUCACCUACUGACACCCAUCUACCAGGAUCAAACAAGGCGUCCAGGAUCAAACAAACAAAGCAAGGAAAGAUACAGCCCCUUCCUUGCAAUCUAGCUAGACCGCUAAUGUAACAACAAAGUUUCUAGAAGAAUCUAACAGCAAUCAUAUAUAAAAAAAGCGCAAGUAAAUAUGGUCAUGCAUAUUUUGAAGCCACCAAAGCUGUCCUUAUGUCGAAAAUUGAAAUAAACGAUGGUACAAAGAGGAGAAAUAAUGAAAAUAACAUGAAGGAGUCAGAACCCAGAAAUCAUAUGUAACUAAACUAUGAGAAACCAUGUAUAUUACCUCAAGAAUCUAUAUAGACCUAAGCUUCUCUUUAACAGGCAGAAAACCAAGCAAUAAAACAGAUAGCCUAGCUAAAUCCAAGGACCUACUUGACGGCAAGGCACCAACAAAACAAGAAAGCCCCCCAAAAGUCCUCCUCUGGAACCUAGCUACCUAAGAAUCUGCUGCACAAGAAGAAACCCAAGGCAUUUUUGCUAGCCAGUCCUACAAAAUGGUACAUGAACAUAAGAGGGGAAGGAGCUCAACCAGCAGGAGCAUGACCAGUGCGGCCACACGCGGCAGAGGUGAAGCAUAGAUCGCUCGGAAUCGCGUGUGUAAGGAAGAACCCAACAACACGGUACAUGCGAGUAGCACCAGCAAACAAAUCAGUAGGUUACUUCUAGGACAUAGCACCUCGAUCACUCUUUACAUGAACAAUCCAGCAUUAUCUACUAAAAAACUAUCAACAAAAAUCUUGUAGCAUUAUUAUUUGUAGCAUGUAAGAACAAAUAGCUGCAAAUGGUAACUUGCGAAAAAAUAGAAGUAGUAGUGUCACAGCAAAUUAAAACAAGCCAUUCAACCAUUGCGGGGAGCGGGUCAAAGUGCGACUUACUCUUAUAACCAGAUUAAAUCAAGGACCAACAACAAUAUAGAUACAACAAAGUGCGACUGUACAUAUUCUACAAAACACACCACUGCACCAUGUAGAUACAACACAUAUCAAUUAGAAGGGGCAACUUGUGCCCUGUUUAUGAGAGAAAGAAAUCAAAUAAUAUUUGUAACAGUAGAUUGAGAUAUGAUGAGAAUACCUAAUCAGUAAAGCAUCACUACCCAACCAUAAGCAUAAAGGAAGUAAUAUGAGCUGAAAUCUCUGAUGGCAUAAAAAAUUAGAGCAUGUCUGACAUAACAUUUUGAAGUUACAAAUGGUAAAUAAACUACAACCAAGAAACAGAACAUUAAGUAGCUAGAGAGUAUACACUACUUUCUAAUAGGAAAGAAUGUAAUUUAAUCGGUAAGGUACUGUCACUGUCUCCAACAUGAAAAAACGAAGAAACCUUUUGUAAUCAGUAUCUACCAUGCUCAUGUUUCUUCUGUAUUCAGUACAGUAGCUGCAACCAUGCGCAUAUCACCGAGCAGGAAAAAGAGAGAAGGUUACGGCUUACUUAACAUUUGCCAAUUGAUGCUGCCUGCACCCAUACUUUAUGAAUCUGCUGCUUCUAAUUCUGUUACAACCUGCCACUCCUCAUUAUAUGUUGCCCCAUCAUUUUCCUGCAACGCAUCUAUAUAACAAAAAGCACCACAUCAAGUGAGGUACGAAAAUAGCAGAUAGCAAAGCAACAUGAGAAUAGUAGUCAAGUAUAUUGGCAUACCUUUAAUUCUCAAAUAGUUGAUUGGUUCAUGACGAUGGUUCGAGGAGAAAGCUGCAAUUGAAAAAAUAAAGAUAUUCUUACAAAGAAGGCCCAAAGGUUUAAGCAGGAUAUGGUAAUAAAUAUACAUAAUAUGUAAACUUCAAAACUAUUGCAGAGAGAUAAAUGUGGUUUUGGAAGAAACAUGUUCCUAGAUAGGCAGAGUCUAAUUGUAGUAGCAUAUCAUUGUGAGACGAAUGCACUUUUUUAACUUCUCCCUAGCCUACCCAUGUGGUUCCAGAGGGUAACACAUUCAUUAAAUGCAAACUCGAUAGCAGAAUUUUCCCUCAUGACACAGAGCUUUUCCCAAGUGCACCAUAUAUCCUGAUUUGGAAUGUUCUAAAUCCAAGAAUAUAAUGUAUGAUAGUUUAUCAUCAAUACUGAUGAUAUAGAGACAAAGAUGAGAGCUAGGAACCAUGCCAAUUAGCUUGGAUGGGCUCCCCACUGUUUGAUCUGCUUCAACAUUGCAAAGGGAGGUUCUUCAGUACUUCUCAAGCUUCUAGAUUCCCUGCAGCUGCAAUAGGCUCAACCUUAAUUGUCUUCCAUUCAGUACUAUCUAAGUGUGCGGGCGAGUGAGGCUUGCAGGCGAUGUAUGAAACAAGUGCAAGACGCUAUAAAAAUAGUACUAUGUCUGUAUCUGUGGUAGUAGAUAAAAGUAACAUUAGUAUCAGUACUAAUUCUAAGUAUAUCAGAACAUGCAAAGAACAUAUGUAGUAGUAAUAGCCAGGUAGGCAUAGUUGCCAGAUUCGGUGGGUUUGAUUUGGGGAAACAAUGCAUUGGCAAGGCAACAGGCGAGGGAUGGAUGGAUGGAUGGAUGGACUUACGAUUUUGUCGAGCUCCCGGGUCUUGCGCAUCAGCUCCUCCUUGAGCCGGCUAUUCUCCUCAAGCUGCGGUGGCGUGGGAGGGGGAGAAUGGAUGACUGAGUCAGUGAUAUUGGCAGGGGUGAGAAAAGAGAUGGGCGAGGGGAGGGGGGAGGUGUCCUGGUGAUGGAUGGUGGCCUCGGCGUCCUCGACGGCGCGCAUGACCUGGAAGAGGUUGCCGGUGCCAGCGGCGUCGUCGGAGUCCUGGCACGCGGUGGCCAGCUCAUCGGCGUCGGCCAUGGCGCGGUGAUGGCGAUGCGGGUGGGGUACGGGGAGGAGAUGGGAGCACGGCGAGGGAGGCGGAACCCUAGGGAGGGGAGGGGAGGGGAGGCGGCUCCUCAAGUGGCUGGUCGCGCUGCUGGUGGAGACGAGACGGGAGUGGGGGAGGGAGGGGAUUCGCGCUCUCUCUCUCUNNNNNNNNNNAAACAGAUAGCCUAGCUAAAUCCAAGGACCUACUUGACGGCAAGGCACCAACAAAACAAGAAAGCCCCCCAAAAGUCCUCCUCUGGAACCUAGCUACCUAAGAAUCUGCUGCACAAGAAGAAACCCAAGGCAUUUUUGCUAGCCAGUCCUACAAAAUGGUACAUGAACAUAAGAGGGGAAGGAGCUCAACCAGCAGGAGCAUGACCAGUGCGGCCACACGCGGCAGAGGUGAAGCAUAGAUCGCUCGGAAUCGCGUGUGUAAGGAAGAACCCAACAACACGGUACAUGCGAGUAGCACCAGCAAACAAAUCAGUAGGUUACUUCUAGGACAUAGCACCUCGAUCACUCUUUACAUGAACAAUCCAGCAUUAUCUACUAAAAAACUAUCAACAAAAAUCUUGUAGCAUUAUUAUUUGUAGCAUGUAAGAACAAAUAGCUGCAAAUGGUAACUUGCGAAAAAAUAGAAGUAGUAGUGUCACAGCAAAUUAAAACAAGCCAUUCAACCAUUGCGGGGAGCGGGUCAAAGUGCGACUUACUCUUAUAACCAGAUUAAAUCAAGGACCAACAACAAUAUAGAUACAACAAAGUGCGACUGUACAUAUUCUACAAAACACACCACUGCACCAUGUAGAUACAACACAUAUCAAUUAGAAGGGGCAACUUGUGCCCUGUUUAUGAGAGAAAGAAAUCAAAUAAUAUUUGUAACAGUAGAUUGAGAUAUGAUGAGAAUACCUAAUCAGUAAAGCAUCACUACCCAACCAUAAGCAUAAAGGAAGUAAUAUGAGCUGAAAUCUCUGAUGGCAUAAAAAAUUAGAGCAUGUCUGACAUAACAUUUUGAAGUUACAAAUGGUAAAUAAACUACAACCAAGAAACAGAACAUUAAGUAGCUAGAGAGUAUACACUACUUUCUAAUAGGAAAGAAUGUAAUUUAAUCGGUAAGGUACUGUCACUGUCUCCAACAUGAAAAAACGAAGAAACCUUUUGUAAUCAGUAUCUACCAUGCUCAUGUUUCUUCUGUAUUCAGUACAGUAGCUGCAACCAUGCGCAUAUCACCGAGCAGGAAAAAGAGAGAAGGUUACGGCUUACUUAACAUUUGCCAAUUGAUGCUGCCUGCACCCAUACUUUAUGAAUCUGCUGCUUCUAAUUCUGUUACAACCUGCCACUCCUCAUUAUAUGUUGCCCCAUCAUUUUCCUGCAACGCAUCUAUAUAACAAAAAGCACCACAUCAAGUGAGGUACGAAAAUAGCAGAUAGCAAAGCAACAUGAGAAUAGUAGUCAAGUAUAUUGGCAUACCUUUAAUUCUCAAAUAGUUGAUUGGUUCAUGACGAUGGUUCGAGGAGAAAGCUGCAAUUGAAAAAAUAAAGAUAUUCUUACAAAGAAGGCCCAAAGGUUUAAGCAGGAUAUGGUAAUAAAUAUACAUAAUAUGUAAACUUCAAAACUAUUGCAGAGAGAUAAAUGUGGUUUUGGAAGAAACAUGUUCCUAGAUAGGCAGAGUCUAAUUGUAGUAGCAUAUCAUUGUGAGACGAAUGCACUUUUUUAACUUCUCCCUAGCCUACCCAUGUGGUUCCAGAGGGUAACACAUUCAUUAAAUGCAAACUCGAUAGCAGAAUUUUCCCUCAUGACACAGAGCUUUUCCCAAGUGCACCAUAUAUCCUGAUUUGGAAUGUUCUAAAUCCAAGAAUAUAAUGUAUGAUAGUUUAUCAUCAAUACUGAUGAUAUAGAGACAAAGAUGAGAGCUAGGAACCAUGCCAAUUAGCUUGGAUGGGCUCCCCACUGUUUGAUCUGCUUCAACAUUGCAAAGGGAGGUUCUUCAGUACUUCUCAAGCUUCUAGAUUCCCUGCAGCUGCAAUAGGCUCAACCUUAAUUGUCUUCCAUUCAGUACUAUCUAAGUGUGCGGGCGAGUGAGGCUUGCAGGCGAUGUAUGAAACAAGUGCAAGACGCUAUAAAAAUAGUACUAUGUCUGUAUCUGUGGUAGUAGAUAAAAGUAACAUUAGUAUCAGUACUAAUUCUAAGUAUAUCAGAACAUGCAAAGAACAUAUGUAGUAGUAAUAGCCAGGUAGGCAUAGUUGCCAGAUUCGGUGGGUUUGAUUUGGGGAAACAAUGCAUUGGCAAGGCAACAGGCGAGGGAUGGAUGGAUGGAUGGAUGGACUUACGAUUUUGUCGAGCUCCCGGGUCUUGCGCAUCAGCUCCUCCUUGAGCCGGCUAUUCUCCUCAAGCUGCGGUGUCGUGGGAGGGGGAGAAUGGAUGACUGAGUCAGUGAUAUUGGCAGGGGUGAGAAACAGAGAUGGGCGAGGGGAGGGGGGAGGUGUCCUGGUGAUGGAUGGUGGCCUCGGCGUCCUCGACGGCGCGCAUGACCUGGAAGAGGUUGCCGGUGCCAGCGGCGUCGUCGGAGUCCUGGCACGCGGUGGCCAGCUCAUCGGCGUCGGCCAUGGCGCGGUGAUGGCGAUGCGGGUGGGGUACAGGGAGGAGAUGGGAGCACGGCGAGGGAGGCGGAACCCUAGGGAGGGGAGGGGAGGGGAGGCGGCUCCUCAAGUGGCUGGCCGCGCUGCUGGUGGAGACGAGACGGGAGUGGGGGAGGGAGAGGAUUCGCUCUCUCUCUCUCUCUGUUCAUAGGAGGUGGCGGACCCUCCCUCUGCUGCUGCUCAUCGUUGUUGGGGAGGGAGGAGGGGGCUUUGUUGAGGUGGAUCUNNNNNNNNNNGGCUCCUCUUUGAUCCGACAGCGCAGGUCAUCCGGCGGCUCGAUCCGACGGCCAAGAUCAGAUUAAGCAACCAGAUCCAACGGCCAGGAAUGCCAAGCGGCUGAGGAGGCUGGAGGAUGACUGGAAUCCUUAUUUCUCGAUUCGUUUGCCCCAUGCGAGUGCAUCCCCCAAAGGCCGCAACCUCUUCUACACCACCGCUUAUGGUUGAAGUUGUUGCCGUCCUCCCCCUGCUUCUUGGACGGUUCGCCUCUGCUUGAGCAUGACUGCGGCGUCCCGCCCAAUUGGCCUUGACAAUGCUCCUCGGCCUCAGCUAAAGCCACUGGCCCGUUCCACUGAUGUUUAGAAUUGCUGCUCAUGCAUCUGCUUGCCACUUUGCCGACAAUGCUACUCGUCGACCCGUGCAACUCUAGCAUGUUGGCUACUUGUCGCGUGCCUCUUGGACCAGAUAGUUUCUAAAUCGAUGCAUUGAAGUUAAACUACAUAGUUGACCUUUUAAGUUUGGGAGCACUUGGUCAGGCAGCUAAAAACUGGUUUUGUUUCAGUUGAUUUGCUCUCCCUCUUUCAACUAUCUUAUUUAAAUCCAAAGCCUCAUGUUUUUCAUCCUCCUGCCAUCGAAGCGACAAUGUUCUUUUUGAUGGAAAUAUUCCCUAGAGGCAAUAAUAAAAUGGUUAUUAUUAUAUUUCCUUAAUCAUGAUAAAGGUUUAUUAUUCAUGCUAGAAUUGUAUUAAUCAGAAACUUAAAUACAUGUGUGGAUACAUAAACAAAUACCAUGUCUCUAGUGAGCCUCUACUAGACUAGCUUGUUGAUCAAAAGAUGGUUAAGGUUGCCUAACCAUAGACAUGUGUUGUCACUUGAUAACGGGAUCACAUCAUUAGGAGAAUGAUGUGAUGGACAAGACCCAUCUAUUAGCUUAGCAUCUGAUCGUUCAGUUUAUUGCUACUGCUUUCUUAAUGCCAAAUACAUGUUUCUUCAACCAUGAGAUCAUGCAACUCCCGUAUAUCGGAGGAAUACCUUGUGUGCUAUCAAAGGUCACAACAUAACUGGGUGAUCAUAAAGAUGCUCUACAGGUAUCUCCGAAGGUGUCUGUGGAGUUGGCGUGAAUCGAGAUUGGAAUUUGUUACUCCGUAUGGCGGAGAGGUAUCUCUGGGCCCUCUCAGUAAUACACAUCACAAGAAGCUUGCAAGAAAAAUGACUAAGGAGUUAGUUACGAGAUGAUGUAUUACGAAACGAGUAAAGAGACUUGCCGGUAAUGAGAUUGAACUAGUUAUGGAGAUAUCAACGAUCGAAUCUCGGGCAAGUAACAUACCGACAGACAAAGGGAAUUACGUAUGCUGUCAUAACGGUUUGAUCGAUAAAUAUCUUUGUAGAAUAUGUAGGAACCAAUAUGGGCAUCCAAGUUCCGCUAUUGGUUAUUUACCGGAGAGGUGUCUCGGUCAUGCCUACAUAGUUCUCGAAGCCAUAGGGUCCACACUUUUAACGUUCGUUGAUGAUAUAGUGUUCUAUGAGUUAUAUUAUUUGGUGACGGAAUGUUGUUCGGAGUCCCGGAUUAGGUCAUGGACAUGACGAGGAGCUCCGGAAUGGCCCGGAGGUAAAGAUCAAUAUAUAGGUCGAUGAUAUUUGGACACCGGAAGAGUUUUGGGAGGUACCGGGUAGUCAUCGGAUCAUCAGAAGUGGUUCCGGGAAGCCCCGGGAUGCUAUAUGGCUUAAUGGGCCAAAGGAGGAACACACCAGCCCACAAGGGGCUGGUGCGCCCCUCUCCCUGGCCGCCGGCCCUAGGGGAAGGAAAGGGGGAGGGUUGGCCCCUCCUUCCUUUCCCUCCUCAUGAGAGANNNNNNNNNNNNNNNNNNNNNNNNNNNNNNNNNNNNNNNNNNNNNNNNNNNNNNNNNNNNNNNNNNNNNNNNNNNNNNNNNNNNNNNNNNNNNNNNNNNNNNNNNNNNNNNNNNNNNNNNNNNNNNNNNNNNNNNNNNNNNNNNNNNNNNNNNNNNNNNNNNNNNNNNNNNNNNAGGGGGCGCCACACAAGGACCACGUCGAUCUCUUAGCCGUGUGCGGCACCCCUCUCCAUAGUUUCAUCCAUCAGUCAUAUUUUCAUAGUGCUUAGGUGAAGCCUUGCGUAAAUAGCAUCACCACCACCAUCACCACUUCGCCCGUCUUGCUGGAUCAAGAUGGCGAGGACGUCACCGAGAUGAACAUGUGCGUCACCGAGAUGAACUUGAUCGGUUGGACCGUGAAGAAGUUCGACUAUAUCAAUUGCGUUAAUAAACGCUUCCGCUUACGGUCUACGAGGGUACAUAGACACACUCUCCCCUCUUGUUGCUAUGCAUCUCCAUGGAUACAUCUUGCGUGUGCAUAUUUUUUUUUUGUUUUCCAUGCGACGUUCCCCAACACUUCUUCCUCACUGAACCUAUGAUUUCUCUCCCUCCUAUUGAUAAUCCCCAAGUGCAGGGAAUCAUAGUAGCAAUUCCCAAAGGUGGAAGUGAUAAGUAUGGAGUGUCGAACCCACAAGGAGCUAAAGGUAAGAUCAAUAUUCUCUCAAGCCCUAUCUGCCACUGAUACGACUCUAGUGCACCGAACGUUUGCUUCCAACUAGCAACGAGAAAUAAAACUAUGUUGUGGGUAUGUAGAGGAUAACUUUGUAUGAUAUCGGAGAGCUAAAACAUAAAAGUAGGUGUUGUUAUCAUAAAGUUAGAAUAUAAUACUAAAUAUUAUAAAUAGCGAGUGUGGAAUAAUGGUGGAUCGGUGUGCGGAAUUGUCCUAGGCAAUAGUUAACAAGACUGAUAAUCACUAUUGCAGUUUCAUAUGAGGGAGAGGCAUAAGCUAACAUACUUUCUCUUCUUGGAUCAUAUGCACUUAUGAUUGGAACUCUAGCAAGCGUCGUCAACUACUGAAGAUCAUAAAGGUAACAACCAACCAUAGCAUUAAAGCAUCAAGUCCUCUUUAUUCCCAUACACAACAACCUACUUACUCGGAUUUGUGUUUUAGUCACUCACGCAACCCACUAUAAGCGAAUCAUGAACGUAUUGCAACACCCUACAGCGGGAAUCCCUCAUGCUUGCGCGACACGGAGGGCACCAUAGGAUAGCAUCAAAGUAAAACAUACAACUCAUACCAAUCUAAAUCAUCAAUCAACCCAAAGACAAAAGAUAUCUACUCAAAACAUCAUAGGAUGGCAACACAUCAUUGGAUCAUAAUAUGUGGCAUAGAGCACCAUGUUCCUGUAGGGAUUACAGCGGGGUGCGGGAGAGUGGACCGCGUAAAAGAGAUGAGGAUGGUGAUGAUGAUGGUGAUGUUGAUGAAGACGAUCACCGCGGCGAUGAUUCCCCUCCCGAUGGCACUCCGGUGCCACCAAGAGAGAGCAGGAGAGGUUCUCCCCCUUGUGCUUCCUCCUCCAUGACUUUCCCCCUCUGGUCCUUGGCCUUGAUGGUGAUGAUGGACCCUCCGAGAUCCUCCUCCAUGGCCCCCGGUGAUGAUGGCCCCCUCCGGCAGGGUGCCGGAGAGGUCCUAGAUUGAUUUCUCAUGGCUACAGAGGCUUGCGGCGGGGGAACUUAUGAUCUAGGUCAAUUCCCGAAGGUUUCUGUAUUUAUAGGAAUAUUUGGCGUUGGUUUCACGUCAGGGGGGUCUCUGGGCUGUCCACGAGAUAGGGGGCGCGCCCCCCACUCUCGUGGGCAGCCCGGGACUCUUCCGGCCCAACUCUGAUGCUCCGUGGUCUUCUUUUGGUCCAUAAAAAAUCCUCAAAAAUUGGCACGUCAAUUGGACUCCGUUUGGUAUCCCUUUUCUGUAAAACACAAAAACUAGGAGAAAACAGAAAUUGGCACUGGGCUCUAGGUUAAUAGGUUAGUCCCAAAAAUCAUAUAAAAUGACAUAUAAAUGCAUAUAAAACAUCAUAGAUGAAUAAUAUAAUAGCAUGAAUACUUCAUAAAUUAUAGAUAUGUUGGAGACGUAUCAGCAUCCCUAAGCUUAAUUCCUGCUCUUCCGCGAGUAGGUACAUGAUAAAAGAAAUAAUUUAUGAAGUGUGAAUGCUAGUAGGUGGACAAGUUUGAUCAAUGAUAAUUUCAAUCACCUUUUCUAGCAUCAAAAUGUGUCAUAAUAGUAGCUUAUCUCAUAAAACUUUUCAUGAUCAAGUAACAAUCUAUUCACAAUGUCAAGUAUGGUUCAGAAACUUCAUUGAGAACUAACAAACUAUAAUCUCAGUCAUUUAAGCAAUUGCAAUUUAUCAUAACAUCAGAAAGAGUCAAGAAUAGAGCUUUUUAGCAAGUCCACAUACUCAACUAUCAUAUAGUCUUCUACAAUUGCUAACACUCACGCAAUACUUGUGGUUAGGGAGUUUCAGCCAGACACUGAGAAAGAUAGGGGCUUAUUGUGUUGCCUCCCAACGUAUUCACCUUUAGGUGAUGUCAACUAUAAUAGCCCAUGCUAACUUACAUCCAAUUGGAUAUAUAUACCAUGAUCUUUCAAACACAAGGAGCUUGCCAAAGGACAAAAUGAAAAAGGGAAAGGUGAGGAUCACCUUGACUCAAGCAUAAAGUAAAAACAUAAAGUAAAAGAUAGGCCCUUCGCAGAGGGAAGCAGAGGUUGUCUUGUGCGUUUAGGGUUGGAUGCAUAAAAUCUUAAUGCAAAAGAACGUCACUUUAUAUUGCCCCUUGUAUGUUGACCUUUAUUAUGCAGUCCGUCGCUUUUAUUGCUUCCACAACAAGAUCGUACAAAGCUUAUUUUCUCUGCACUAAUAAGUCAUACAUAUUUAGAUAGCAAUUUUUAUUGCCUGCAACAUGACCACUUGAAGGAUCUUACUCAAUCCAUAGGUAGGUAUGGUGGACUCUCAUGGCAAAACUGGGUUUAAGGAUAUUUGGAAACACAAGUAGUAUCUCUACUUAGUGCAAGGAAUUUGGCUAGCAUGAGGGGGAAAGGCAAGCUCAACAUACUUGGAAGGUCAAUGACAAUAUACUUUAACUGAGAUGUGAGAAAACACAAAUCAUUAUGUUGUCUUCCUUGUCCAACGUCAACUCUUUUAGCAUGUCAUAAUUAAUGAGUGCUCCCUAUCAUAAAAGAUGUCCAAGAUAAUAUAUUUGUAUGUGAACCUCUCUUUCCUUAUUACUUCCUAUUAAUUGCAACGAUGACCAAAACUACGUUUACCAACUCUCAACAACUUUUAUGCCUCAUACUGUUUAUAUGUGAAGUCAUUACUAUCCAUGUUAUAAGCAUAAUAAAACAUAUAGAAAUUCAGAUUCAUGACAUUCAAUUCAUUCCCCCAUUUACUCAUAGGAUGAACAUGAAGCACAUGAGUAAAUGACAAACUACUCCAAAAGAUAUGAGUGAAAGACAUGGAGUAGUCAAAUAAUUAACUAGCCAUGGGAGGGUUCCUUUUUUAUUCAAUAUUCAGAUCCAAUGAUUUUAUUCAAACAGCAAGUAAAAUCGAAAACACGCUCCAAGCAAAACACAUAUCAUGUGACGAAUAAAAAUAUAGCUCCGAGUAAGAUGUACCGAUAGUUUUGAAGACGAAAGAGGGGAUGCCUUCCGGGGCAUCCCCAAGCUUAGGCGCUUGAGUCUUCCUUGAAUAUUACCUUGGGGUGCCUUGGGAAUCCCCAAGCUUAGGGUCUUUCCACUCCUUAUUCUACUCAUAUCGAUAUCUCGCCCAAAACUUGAAAACUUCAAUCACACAAAACUUAAUGGAACUUCGUGAGAUAGGUUAGUAUGAUAAAGAGUAAACCAUGCACUUUGGUACUGUAAAAGACAAGGUUAAUAAUUGUUUUCACAUAAUGCNNNNNNNNNNUACUGUACCAUAUCAUUUCUACAAUUUAUAUUGAGAAAUAUAAGCCAUAGAAACUAGAAAACAAGCAAACUAUGCAGUGAAAACAGAAUCUGUCACAAAUAGAACAGUCUGUAAUGAUCUGAGCAAUAACCAUACUUCUGCUACUCCAAAAAUUAUGAAAUAAAUUGGUGGACAUGAGGAAUUUGUCUACUAAUCUUCUGCAAAAAGAAUAAACUCAAAGUCACACUUCUGUAAAAAAUGACAGCUAAUCUCGUGAGCGCAAAGUUUCUAUUUUUUACAGCAAGAUCACAUUAACUCUCACCCAAGUCUUCCCAAAGGUCUUACUUGGCACUUUAUUGAAACAAAAGCUAUAAAACAUGAUUACUACAGUAGCUUAAUCAUGUAGACACACAAAAACAGUCAGGAUAAAUAUUGGGUUGUCUCCCAACAAGCGCUUUUAUUUAAUGCCUUUUAGCUAGGCAUGAUGAUUUCAAUGAUGCUCGCAUAAAAGAAAAGAGUUGAAACACAAAGAGAGCAUCAUGAAGAAUAUGACUAGCACAUUUAAAUCUAACUCACUUCAUAUGCCUGGGGAUUUUGUGAGCACACAACUUAUGGGAACAAGAAUCAACUAGCAUAGGAAGGCAAAACAAGUUUAACUUCAAAACUUAAAGCUCAUAGAGAGGAAACUUGAUAUCAUUGCAACUCCUACAAGUAUAUAUUCCCCCCUCAUAAUAGUUUUCAGUAUCAUCAUGGAUAACAACCUUUUUUCUCAUACUAAAUUGGAACCUCUUCCGAAAUAGUGGAAUACUAACUAAAGUUGACACUCUUCCAAAUCCACUUUCAUGAAUAUCGUACAAUGAUUCAACACCCUCCAAGAUAGUGGGAUCACUAAUUCCUAAAGUUGACACUCUUCCAAACCCACUUUAAAUUAUAGUACUAUUCAUACUCCAAAAGAUAUAAGUGAAGUUCCUGGAGCAUUCUAUAAUUAAUAUAGACUAGCCAAUAUCCAAGCUCAAAAUAUAUAAGUGAAGCGCACGAAGCAUUCUAUAAAACCAUACUCAAACGAUAUAAGUGAAGCACAAAGAGCAAUUAUCUAAGAUCAUACUUAAAAGAUAUAAGUGAAGCUAAUGAAGUAUAAAUGAAUGAAGAGCUCUCUCAUAUAUCAUGAUUCUUGAAGAAAAAUAAAAACACAAAGGACAUGAAUCGUGUGAACAAAGCAAAAACCGAGGUAUACCGAUAUUUGUUGAGGAAGAAAGAUGGGAUGCCAACCGGGGCAUCCCCAAGCUUAGAUGCUUGAGUAUCCUUUAAAAUAUUUACUUGGGGUGCCUUGGGCAUCCCCAAGCUUGAACUCUUGUCUCUCUUUAUUCUUCUCACAUCAAUAACUCCUCGUUCUUCAAACACUUCAUUCACAAAAACUUAAAAAAAAACUUGUGAGAUCCGUUAGUGUAAUAAAGCAAACUACCACUUUAAGGUACUGUAAUUAACAAUUUAUUUAUUUUUAUUGGUGUUAAACCUACUGUAUUCCAACUUCUCUAUGGUUCAUACCCUUACAUACUAGCCAUAGAUGCAUCAAAAUAAGCAAACAAUACACGAAAAACAGAAUCUGUCAAGAACAGGACAGUCUGUAGUAAUCUGGAAGUUCAGUAAACUUCUGUAACUCCAAAAAUUAUGAAAUAAAAUUGAAAAUUUGAAAUAUUUGUACAGAAGUAAUGUGCAAAAAGUUUCAUACCCAUUUGUCUUUCCAGUAAAAAAUGUAAAUUCAUGCACUACAGCCAAAGUUUCUAUUUUUCUGCACAUAGUAAGCAAGCAAUCUUAUCAUACUAAAACCAAAGCUUGGCACACUAUUUUUAUAUUAAAAAGGAUAUAUACAAGGGUAUAAUUAUUUACAGAGAAACUUUCAUGAAAAAUUCUACAUUGUUUCCGUGAGCAUGAACUCAAGUGCUCAAGGUCGACCCUCACUUCUUCAAUGCAUAACUUUCCAAUCACUUCUCUUUUUGAAAAACUUUUUUAGGCAUGACAGGCAAGUAAUUCUUUUUUGGUAUUUUCAUUCUUUUUAAUUUUUGUGUAUGUUUCAUCCACAACUAAACAGAAACAAAAAGGGAAAAUAAAAUCUACUUAGUGAAGAAAGCAAACAAGCACACACGAGAAUAUCAACCCCACGCUAUCACUCCCCGGCAACGGCGCCAGAAAAGAGCUUGAUAAUCCCCAAGUGCAGGGAAUCAUCGUAGCAAUUCCCAAAGGUGGAAGUGAUAAAUAUGGAGUGUAGAACCCACAAAGAGCUAAAGGUAAGAUCAAUAUUCUCUCAAGCCCUAUCUGCCACUGAUACGACUCUACAUGCACCGAACAUUUGCUUCCAACUAGCAACGAGAAAUAAAACUAUGUUGUGGGUAUAUACAGGAUAACUUUGUAUGAUAUCGGAGAGCUAAAACAUAAAAGUAGGUGCUGUUGUCAUAAAGUUAGUAAAUAAUACUAAAUAUUAUAAAUAGCGAGUGUGGAAUAAUGGUGGAUCGGUGUGCGGAAUUGUCCUAGGCAAUUGUUAACAAGACCGAUAAUCACUAUUGCAGUUUCAUAUGAGGGAGAGGCAUAAGCUAACAUACUUUCUCUUCUUGGAUCAUAUGCACUUAUGAUUGGAACUCUAGCAAGCAUCCGCAACUACUAAAGAUCAUUAAGGUAAAACCCAACCAUAGCAUUAAAGCAUCAAGUCCUCUUUAUUCCCAUACGCAACAACCUACUUACUCGGUUUGUGUUUCAGUCACUCACGCAACCCACUAUAAGCGAAUCAUGAACGUAUUGCAACACCCUACAGCAGGAAUCCCUCAUGCUUGCGCGAUACAGAGGGCACCAUAGGACAACAUCAAAGUAAAACAUACAACUCAUACCAAUCUAAAUCAUCAAUCAACCCAAAGACAAAAGAUAUCUACUCAAAACAUCAUAGGAUGGCAACACAUCAUUGGAUCAUAAUAUGUGGCAUAAAGCACCAUGUUCAAGUAGGGAUUACAGCGGGGUGCGGGAGAGUGGACCGCGUAAAAGAGAUGAGGAUGGUGAUGACGAUGGUGAUGUUGAUGAAGACGAUCACCGCGGCGAUGAUUCCCCUCCCGAUGGCACUCCGGUGCCACCAAGAGAGAGGAGGAGAGGUUCUCCCCCUUGUGCUUCCUCCUCCAUGGCUUUCCCCCUCUGGUCCUUGGCCUUCAUGGUGAUGAUGGCCCCUCCGAGAUCCUCCUCCAUGGCCUCCGGUGAUGAUGGCCCCCUCCGGUAGGGUGCCGGAGAGGGCCUGGAUUGAUUUCUCAUGUCUACAGAGGCUUGCGGCGGCGAAACUUUUGAUCUAGGUCAAUUCCCGAAGGUUUCUGUAUUUAUAGGAAUAUUUGGCGUUGGUUUCACGUUAGGGGGGUCUCCGGGCUGUCCACGAGAUAGGGGGCGCGCCCCCACUCUCGUGGGCAGCCCGGGACUCUUCUAGCCCAACUCCGAUGCUCCGUGGUCUUCUUUUGGUCCAUAAAAAAUCCUCAAAAAUUGGCACGCCAAUUGGACUCCGUUUGGUAUCCCUUUUCUGUAAAACACAAAAACAAGGAGAAAACAGAAACUCGCACUGGGCUCUAGGUUAAUAGGUUAGUCCCAAAAAUCAUAUUAAAUGACAUAUAAAUGCAUAUAAAACAUCAUAGAUGAAUAAUAUAAUAGCAUGAAUACUUCAUAAAUUAUAGAUUGGAGACGUAUCACCUAUCCUUAGCUGAUUUGGCUGCCUCAAAUUCGUUGAGUACUCGUUUGAGCAAUUACCAAGGACUUACUUCUUGUUGCAUUGCUUCAAGAGAUCUUGGAUGAUAGGUCCAUAGUCCGAGAUUUGCACACCACUCGGUGGCGCAUGGUUGACUUGAUCAAUAUAACCAGGCCAUCGGUUGCAUUGGUCUUGCAUGGUACCUCCAUUGGUUACCAAGAGAGCCUUGGAUGUGGCGUUAUGUGACUUCCAUUAUGUUGAUGUAGUACUCUACAAUUCUACCCGAGAGUCGGUCCUUCGAUUGAUCUGUUCCAAUUGAUGCAUCAACUGACAUGUUUGUCCAAGCGUUACACAAUGCAAUAUAUUAAUCUUGGCAAUACUUGUGAGUCCUAGAUAUUGAUGGUGCCCUCGCGCUUGUUGUGACUCCAUAGAACUAUCAACAACUUCCGGAUCCUCCUUGGCGUCGGCCUCCACUUUUGGCUCAUAAUCCUCCUCGGGGUCUUCUUGUUGAUCAGACACCGAGUUAUAGUUGAGAUCUUCAAGCCCAAGCAUAUGUGACUCCUCCAAAGAUGAUCAAAGUUUGUUUGUGUUAUUCUCCGCACUAUGACAACAAGCACAUCACCCUAGGGCCGCAAGCAAUCACCAUACAAUGCACCGAUCGAUAUGAAAAUACAUUUAUUUACCUUGAUGGCAUUUGUUUGACCACUUGGCGGCCACGACCCUUGGUGAUGGCAGUGGCGGCCGGACGAGCAACCGUAAGGGUGGCCGAAGAUGUGGUGCGAGGCACCAGAGGCAUCUUAUUCUUAUUAUCCUCGCUAUAUCCUCGGUGAGCGCUGACGCAGGUCUCAUCGACCUCCUUGCCCGCUUGUCAGAGGCUGGAGCAGCGGGAGGGCUGCCUCACAUCUUCAAAGAAGCAGUGGUCUUUCCACCGACCUUGCUACCGGCGAUGCUUGCCUGUGUGGUGGCAUGUGUGGGUUUUAAGUGCCUAGCUUCUUCCUUGUUGUGGGCAGCGGCACAGGGCUCAUUUCCUGAUGCGUCGCGCUGGCGGUGGUGGCUGGCAAGGUGGUGGAAGGGUCUUACAUGUACAUCAUUUUGUCCUCGGGUAGGUAGCCGUGUCCGGCCUUCUUGCCGAUGGCGUUUGCACUGCACUCGCAGGUCUUCCUCACAUUCGUCUGCAACUUGACAUGAAAAUAUUUCUGCCACAUGCCAAAGUGGGACUCGACAUAGAGAAAAGCCUCACACAAGGUGAUGAAGCAUGCAAUGUGAAAGAUAGCAAUGAGGGAAGGUAGUGGACUUUGAAGUAGUAAAAAUGCAGGAAACCCCAGAAGGACAGAUUUAUCAGAAAAGCCCAAUCCGUGAAUCAAAAAAGGGAUGAAAUUGACACUCUUAUGCGGAUCAGGCUAUGGGUACACCUCUUCUCGGGCGUCGCCAUUCUCGGUCACGAUGAUGGGAGAGCACGCGAGGACCACGAUAGCUGCGGAAGAUACCCAUCUGCGGCAAGGCGGUCCAACUGGCCACGCUAGUGGAGGGCAUCCAUUUUCCCUUUGUCUUGGAGGUGACCUUGGCUACAACAGUGACAAUCUCCUUUCCAGUGCUGACCAUCUUUCCAUCCGUGGUGAGCUUGUAGCACAUGGCGGCACGGUGGUGAUGUUGGGUUGUGCUAGAGCGAUGGUGCUAUGGCACAGUGAAGUAGCAGGACAACGACAUAGCGCAAAAGCGGUGGAGCUGUUGUUGUGCCAGGAAGAAGAUGAGAACAAGGGAAACAAUAGCAUGAGCUCCCCCUCGCUCCAUCCAUUCCCUUAUAUACGAGGGUGGAAAUGUGAAAUGGCGGCAUGCAAUCAACGCCACCCAGUGGUAAAUCUCUUCAUACCCCCGCGAUGGCGCUAAGUGCACGUGGGGAUUGAGGUGACUCUGUUAAGUGCGUGCGAGAAUCAGGCAUGCUUCCUCUGUUGAUGCAUGGGACGUGGAGUGGGUGGGACCUAUACCCACUCAUGCACGUCACAUUGACCGCUAGGUCAAGUCUGACACAUGGUCCGGUGGGACCAACUGAUGAGACAGGUCUGCUCUAACAGGACUGUACAGUUUGAACCAUAAAGACGCUAUGCGGGAAUUCAACCCAUGAGGAGCAGACUGCGCGGGAAACAUUUUCGGCACAGGUAGGCUAUCUUCAUCAAUGGCUUAAGACCGAGGUUAAUUACGCUACCCCAAAGGCGGUCUGGCAGCUUGAGACCUAUUACGUGAAGAUGUUGUUAAUUAGGGAGGCUUGGAAGAACAAGUUUCAACCUCGACGACCUAAAGACAAUGUGCAACUUGGUGUUGGCAAGCUUGAACACCAAAUUAGGGCUACUGAUGGUGUCACGGCCCAGGGGUACCUCACCAUGUCAGUUCUCGGCCUGGUGGAGCCCUAGGUCGGUUUCAUCCUGGCUCACUUUGGGCAGCCCGUGACAUUUAUAUGGAAGACUCCAGACGACUUAAUGUACAAGACAAGUGUACGUGAGCUGAGGAGGAGUCUACCUCCACCGAUCUAGUCGACUAGGAUCUGUAAGCCUAGGACCCCUGGUAUGUUGUAUAAGCUGGGGUCGGGCUCGUCGAGAGAUCAUCAGGUAGGUUCCCCUUUGGUAUAUCAUAUCUAAAGCUAAUUUGAUUGAUUUACAAUGAUCCUUUUUUGCAUGAGUAUAGGGAUACAUUUAACCAUGGGGCUCGUAGCUUUCCCAAGGUGGCCACACGAUAUUGGUUCGAUAUCAUGUAUGGCCUCUCUAGCCAGCAUCUUUGCUUGUAUCCUGAACAAUCCUAGAUCUAUAAAGAAAAUCAUGGGUGUAGAAUAAUCCCACACCUGGCAGAUCAAGAUUGGUCGAACAUGAUCCUUAUUUAUAGGAGACAUCUAUUUCUCAAUUGACUAAAAUUUAACGCAAAACUGAUUUAUAAAUUUCUGUAUGAAUCUAAGCAAAAUUUUACCAUGUUGUAAAAAAUGUGUUCAUCUAGUGCAAAGCAGAUGUAGUUUUAACUAAGGCUCCACUGAAUUUACCAUGUUGUAAAAAAGUACUGAGAGUGAUAUAAUAGUUCAUUCAGGCGGAAAUCCAAUUUGGCUCUCGGGUGCACAUGCUAUUGCGCGUGAAAAUAAUUUGGAAAUGUCAAAACAAAUCCAACAAAAAAUUUAUGUGUUCAUAGUCACAUCCAAAUGCUACUUACAAACUCUUAGGCAAAAACUUUAAGCAUUUUGGCCAGUGAAAAAAAUAAAAUUAAAUACCAAAUAUUAAUAACAAAUGUCACCUAAAAUUUGUUUUUUUUUUCACCGACGAAACACUGCCGCUCCGUUCCACAUGAAAAUUGUCAAGGAUGACACUAACACGAACAUUUUCAAAAAGAAACUCAUAUUUUUUUUAAUGUUUACAAUUUUUUUAUGGUUACUGUUCAUGCAGGAGGAUGUGCUCCCAGGAGCCAAAACGCCUCCCCCGUUGUUCAGGUUAGUUAAAAAAUGCAGUAUUACUCUCAGAGUUGUUGGUUUGAUGGUUAUGUCUAUUGAGCGCUAAGAAAUUAUACGACAAUUGAGAAUUAGGAAAACCACUUUUCAUAUCACAGAAACUUAAAUCGAGAUUUCUAUAAGUUUAUUGAGUUGUGUAGUCCAGCCAAAAUCAGUUUGUAUAAUUUAUUAUAAUUUUCCAUAUCUUAGUAGCACAAGGUUUUGGCACAUGAAAGUACAUUGUAUCCAUCAUUUCCAUAGCAUUCACCAUUCGCAACAGCACCAUAUGGAACGGUUGCAAUGACUUUUUUCAAAGUUGUAACCACGCUAUUCACAGCUAAGCUUGCACAUAGCAACAUUGUUGGGCGUUUAUAUCUGGCAUGCUCGGAAAGGAGUACACGAAGUCCACAAUCCAGUUGUACCUACAAACAACAAGGUAUAUAUAGCAUCCCCGUUCAUAUUAGCAUAUGUAGUAUAAGUUGCAUGAGUUUAGAUUAUAUGAAUAUCCAAGGUACAUCAUACAUAAUUGGACUAUUGUAAACAUAAACAAAGAGUGUACCUUUGUUUAUCGUAGUUGCUUGACAUGACCAUAAAGUGCUAGACAUCAUCAGAAGAACUACGAAACAUAUAGCCUAUGUGUUGUUCUUGAUAGGUGCCAUGAGGAGUGGUUUCUUAUUCCUUUUUCCUCCUAUACCUGUAUUCUUUAUGGGCGAUAUCUCUCAACCUAUAUUUCUUAUUGUGUUAUUUAUUAGAGGCAUAAAUCUCGAAGGACCCAUUCUUGCUCUUAUAUUAUUUCUCACAUUUAUGUUUUGAUCAUCAUGUGUUUAUAUAUAGUCACUUGAUGUCCGCAAGGUCACUAUAGCAUUUAGAUAUGAUAUACCAAAAUAUAUCUUGUGGAGAACAUGUUACUAAAUGCAACCUAGAUUUUGAUAUUUGAAAUUAAUCACUACUCUGAAAUACCAUACAUAUAGCACAUUAAGUUGUGCCCCCGCAAAAAAAGCAUAUUAAAUAUGUAUCUUCAGUAGUAGUUGUUCUAUCAUGUAGCAUAGUAGACCCAUGUAAGAAAAACAUAUCGGAUAAUAAUCACAACAUUAUUUCUUUAGGAUUCCACAACAUUAAACCAUUAUAUUAUGUCUUUAGCACUCAAUGUAACAAGCAGAAAAGGCCACCCGAAAUAGUUAGAAAUAAGCCUGUAGAUAACCUCUACUACCGGGUUUUGCAUGCACGCAGUUUGCAAAAGGGACACGAAAGAAAGUUGCCCCCUUUUUCUUUGAGCAAAAAAAACCCUUGUCUUGUGGGCAGAGAUAGGCCCAGAUACACAAGGCCGCAACACGGGGCUUGAUUAUAUUUACGACAGAUAUGUUCACUAGCCCACCAACUUGCCUUUCCUUCGCUUCGAGGUUUUCUUAGUGGAAUUCCCUAUUUGCCGCUCAUUACGUCGAACUGUCGAUGCAAAGCACAGAGCUGGGGAUUGAAGCGCUCACGUGGGCCGGCCCGUUAAUCAAUUGGGUCACUUUCUGGUUUUGGGUACCUUCUAGAGUUUCCUAGCCGAGUUUUUCUGGUUAUGGGAAACUUCUAGAAGGUUCCUUGAACCGUAUUUCUUUUUGUCGAUAUUUCUGUUUCUUUUUUUUCUUUUUUAUUUCUUUUCAUUUCCUUUUCUAUUUCUUUUUUUUUUCAUUUCCUUUAUAUUUCAAGUCCAUUUUUUAAAAACAAAUCAGGUUUCAAAUUUUGUUCAGAAACUGAAAAAAAAUUCGUACUUUUACAGUAUUUUCAAUUUUGUAAAAAAUUUCGUGCUUUCAAAAAUUGUUCAUAAAUUCAAAUAAUGUUCGCAUUUUCAAAAAAUUGUACGGGCAUUUCAAAAAGUGUUCCCAUUUUCCAUAAAUUGUUCAGAAUAUUUUUUUUAUUUUUUGUAACUUUUCAAAUAAUGACUGGGAUUUAAAAAAUGGUUAUGUUUUAAAAAAUUGUUCUUGUUUCCAAAUUUUGCUGACAUAUUCAAAAAUGUUCAUGUUCCAAAUUUGAUUGGAAUUUUUAAAAUUGUUCUCUGGUUCUAACUUUGGUCUAAAAAUGUUCUUGUUUCCAUUUCUGUUUCUUUCUUUGUUUCUUUUUUAAUUUUUAUGUUUUUUUCGAAAAAAUUUCAUUUUUCAAAAAUUGUUCGUAACCUUUAAAAAGUUGUUCCCACUUUUAAAAAACGUUCAUUUUUUUUAAAAUGUUCGUGUUUUCCAAAUUUGUCCAUAAAUUCAAAAAAUGUUCGCAUUUUAAACAAAAUGUUUUGGGAUUUAAAAAUGUUACCUUUUAAAAAAAGGUUUGUCUUUGCAAAUGGCAACCCCUCGCAAUGAAUGUUCGCCAGCUAUUGCAGUCUAAAAGAUGAUGUGUCCAGAUCUGUAGUCUGAAGAGGUGUGAGCGUUUUGUAAAAUAUUGACAAUUUUAAAAACUGUACACGAUUUUGUUUACAAGAUUUUGACAAAUUUGAUGUAUUUUAGUUUUAUUUGAAAUAAACAAAUAUUUUCCUUUUAGGGGAAAGUGAAAACCUGUAAAAGCAUAUAAAAUCACUAGAAACACAUAGCGUCAUUUAGGAGCUCCCUUUGCUGAUCUGUUGCAAUAUAGAUCUUGAGUCAUCUUAUAACUCACUCACUGCAAUGUUAUUGAUGGCAAAACGCACAUGGAAAAAGGAUUUCCUUCUUGAGCCACGUGGCUCAGAUCGCUCCCAAUUUUCUUUCUCUUUUUUUAUCCAGAUUUCCGUCAGUUUAAACCAAAAAAUAGCUCUCUUGCUUAUGUAGUUAAAUUUAAAAAAUAUCAAACAGUGAUAUAAAAGUACAUGAUUUUACAUGAAUAAUUAAACUGUUUGUGAAUUUUCAAAAAUGAUCUUGAAUUAACAAAACGUUCAUAGGUGUAAACAGAUGUUCUUCUUUUAUGAAAAUGCUUAGGAAUUUAUAAAAUUGUGGAAUUUAUAAAAAUACGAAAUUCAAUAAUGUUCUAUAAUCUUCAAAACAUGUUGGUGUUUUUAAAAAACACGUAUUUGAAAAAUAAUUGUAGUUUGAAAAGGAUUAUGUAUUUCAUAAUAUAUUCUUGAAUUUCAAAAUUGUACAUAAUUUUAAUAAAUGUUCAUGAAGUUGAAAUUCAUAAAUAAAAAUAAAAGGUAUAGAGAAAAAUCAGAUGGAAAUCCUAGAAAACCACAAGAACAUGGGGCGUGAUGUGCACUCUACCUAUGCAUUAAUCGAACACUUUUUUGCAAUGAGCGACAACUACAUUUUACAAUGGCUUGCUACACGCAUGAGCUGUUGCUCCCAUGUCCUACUAGAUCGGGAUCGCGCCUUGACGCGAGGGUGCCGGUCCCAAUGUUUUGCCGAAGAACUAUUUUAGUAUAAACCCAGGUAUAGUAUUUGCACUUAUAUAGAAUAAUAAAGCAAAUUUAGAUAGAAGUAAAACAAAAUGAAUCUCAAUACCGACAUGAGAUUAUAAGGCAGGAUCAAACUAAGUGUGUUCAUAAGACCAUAAAAGAUGGCCACUCAACAUAAAAUUCGAUACCAAAAGCGAGAAUACAUAAAAGGUAAUAAGAACAAGAAGAUAAUAAAGGAGAGCCAAUUGUGGAGCCAUAACCACUAAGCAUACGGGAGGAGCUCCAUUGUGUUAGCCACCUCAGUCUUGCGAUGCUUGGCAUCCGGUAGCCACCUCUUUCUUCAGAUUUUGGAGCCUCUUAGAAUAUAUAAAUGGUAUAGGUGCCCUGUCAAGGAAAAAAAAUAGAUAAAUACAGAUUGUGUGUCUUAUUUUUAUUGUGGUGUCAAUCGAGGAAAAAGGAUGAUGCACGACUACAGAACACCAAACUACAAUCCGAUGAUCAACCAACUAUACAAAUCAUAGAGGGAUCUCCUGGGCACUAAGCCCUUAUAAAAGGGUUUCAAGGUAUCCACUUUAUCACCAGCCUACAAAUAAAAUAUAUAAGGUGGGGGCAAGGGAAGGACUAAAAUAAAAAGAAGUACUCGCUUGGUAAUGCAUACUGGAAAGACAUGUUGCUGGUAAGGAUCUCCUCUACUCAGGAAAAAUAAAAAGAUAGGAGGCGCGUGGUGCCUGCCUCAACAUAUUGUCCAUGUGCUUAAACAAAGCAUUUAGUGUUGUCAAAUGGGAAUUAGAACGAUUGCUUGGGAUGAAUCAGCCCUUGCCAAAUGGAAACUAAAAUAAUUGUGCAGGAUAGAUCAACCCAAUACAGUAAGUUUAGAUCAAUAGCAAUACAGAAGGGUGAGACAGCCUGUUAUACCAAAAGCAAGGCAAGCCAGAAGUUCAUGACAAAGGGGAGACAUAUAUUUGGUGGCAAAAGUAAGCCAAAAUGAUGGGUUCUUGUUAAGUAGAUAAAAUAGUUGGGUUAUUAGAUAGCGAAAGCAAGCCAGAGUAGCGAAUAAGAUUCCUAUAUAGUUUUAACAAUCCUAUGUAGUUCUGCUAUAAUUAAAGAACCAGUGAUGCAUCAAUAUAACUAAUAUACAGUAGUUAACAUGAAGAAUGCCGAGCAGUGCCCUUUUACAAAAGGAGAGGACAAUCAGAUGUUCGCAUAACACAUCACAGCAGCUAGUGGUAUGACACAUCGUUUGGAAGUUAUUGGGGCCAAAGCCAACCAUAUAGCUAAGAGAAAAAGCGCCUGCACAUGAAGCAUUGUCACUAACCCUGAAUGAAGGGUUCUACUUUCAAGUGUUUGUGAAGAACAUGGUGUAUAAGUCACAGCCCAGGAUCACCGCGACACUUUAAUCUCAACAUCAAUACACUUCCAAUACCACUAAGGGAAAAUAGAGUUAAAAUUCAUGUGAGAACAAAAUAGAAACAACUGUGGUCAAAAUGCAUAAUCCUUGCUCAAAUCAAAUUGAUAAUCACCAGAUGGUAUAUAUUUUGGCUCCCUCCCAGAUCAAAUUAAUUUACACUUAUGGAGGAUUGUUAUUAACAAAGUAACCGACAAAGAAGUGAUCGCCAGUUGCACUGUCUACUUAUGUCUUUAUGAAUGCAAAUGCAAGUGGAAGCUACCGAGGUUCGGUAAAUAGGGAUUGACCAGUAGCUUUUUUCCGAACUGGAAGGAACAAAGUCUCACUUCUAGCCAAACCGAGUGGAGAGCACAUCCUAUCAUUCUUUUGAUCUCUAGAUUUCAUCCAAUUGAGAUUUUCAUUCCGUCAUUUCAAGGAAAUGGUGUACACCAAUUUAAGAAGUUUAGGAGUAUGUCCUAAAAGAAGUUUCAGGUGUGCAUAUCGUUACAAGCUUGAAAUACUGACAUAAAAGCUUGAAAUAUGAGAUUGUGCAUGUAGAAAUAAAUAAGAAAUUAUAUGUCAAACAAAUUUAUGUUUUCUGCCAUUCCAGAAAUUCUAAUUUCUUAAUGAGCCGACUUGCAUACGUCUCUCUCCGAAGGAAAGACCAUUUCUAAUUACAGAAAAGGGAUAUGUACAAUGGUAGACAUAUGUGUUGGUCGAUAAUACCUCAAAUGGCGCACCACUAAGAUUUUCCAUUACCAGCUUCUUAUGGAUCAGUGAUACAGAGCUCUCUGCUUGUGCCUGGCUUGGCAGCUUCCUCUAGAUCAGCAAUAAAAUUAAUAGAUUAAGAGAGUACCUCAGCAAACUCAAGAUUAAUUUAUACUCCAUAAACUAAUAUAAGUUCAGGGAGGUAGUACCUAAACAGAUCCAUAAAAUCUUUUAUUCUUUCCAGAAAAUGUAGAAUUAUCCAACAUGUAAGGGGUGAACCACCAUCACGACACCAGCAUCUAGAAUAAGUUGAUUUGCAGAAGCAUUGCCACUAAGAAUAAUGCAUAACAAUGAUUUUUUUCCCUACAUAUAAGGGGAGGCCUCAAACUUAAUCCUUUACUUCCAUAGCACAUCAUACAAUGCCCCCUUAAAAGAGUUCUUCGAAAUAGCAUGCAAGCUCCAUAUCGAAUGGGGAGCAACGGAGGAGGCCACCCGCGACCAUGGCGUCCGACCAAGGCAUCGUUGUUCCGUCCAGCUCGGCCAUGUGCGGGGCGUGACAUCAUUGUGUAGGUACCGGUGGUCGUCCUCAUCCAUGGAGGAUUCCUGCUGCUCCGAUUCAAAGAAACAAGUAAGGGGAUCAAUCAAUCCAUGGAGAGAAGGAAGACAAGGAGACACGCACGUACACGUACUGCUGCUAGUAUAUAAAGAAAUCAACCAAGCCGUAUGUGUGUGUGCUUGAGUACGUGUGUGGUUGGGCUCCUGGAGUACACGAGCUAGUGUUCUAAUUAAACUGAAAUAGAGCAUGCCAUAGGAGAGCAACCUAGAGCACAGAGCAUGCCACAAGAAAGCAACCUAGAGCAGAGCAACUAUAACUUGGAAAAAUCUCACAACCGAGAGAGAGGGAUGGACCUAGUUUGUCAAUCUACCAUGCAUCGUUACUCUAUAAUUUAUAGAGCUGGCAGCCUAACAUGCUACUGCCAUCAGCGGUAACCAAUGAAAUUAGAAAAGCACCGAAACUACUAAUUCUAACCAAAGAAGUUUGAGGAACAUAUUUCUCUUUGUUUUACAAUCUGAAAACGGCUAUUCUGGAGUGUGCAGUGGUCACUCAAAAUAAAGAAUACAUAUACCUGGCCUGCGAAAAACAACUGGCACAACGCAAUGGUCCUUAAUCGGUUAUCCAUAAUAUAGACAAACAAAUAUGAAUCAGGAACCAAGCAGUUUAAUUGGUUGCAAAUUAAAGGACCCUUAGAAUCCGCUUUUAGAUGGCAAACAAUAAACUAUGGCAAUAAAAAAUCAGUAGCCAAAACCCAUAGGACGGAAAAUAGCAUCAGUCAUUCCUUCAACCAAAGCAUCAUAUAUCAUCGAUCUACAUUAUAAGGAGAACUAUGUAUGAGAAUGUGAACCAGAGUUAUACCCCUUGCAUCAUGUAAUUCUUUGGAGUUAGACUCUUUCAAAAUAUUAUCACACAGGGUGCCCAAAAAUAUAUAUUACCACAAUACAUCUAUUCAUCCAUUAAUAAUGAAAAUACUAACACAUAACUUCCACCUAGAGUAGCAUGGAAUUGCACAAAUAAUACAUAGCAAGAGAUUCAUUAUUUCAAUGCAUGAUAAGUUACGAAAUAGAUCAUCUAAACAAACAAAAUAAUGUUUGUUUGUGCCACUUAUUAUUACUGUUAUCGUGGUACCCACAAUAAGGUGGAAAUGUUAGCUUAUUCAAGGGGGGCCUACAAACUUCGAUCCCAUGAUGGCUAAAAUGGUUUUGGAUCAAUGAAGCUUACAACUGGUAAAUCAGGUGAGCUAGUAAGUAUGGCAAACGAAAAUCAAAGUAGAAUGAUCCCAAAAUGUCUUUUGUUACACUAUUACAAAGCAAGUUAACCGAUCUUAGAUCUUGUGACCAUGAAUCCAAACCUCUACUGAUUACUCUUAAAUUCAUAUCAAAGUGAAGAGAGCUAAUUAUUUAUGUGUGGCGCAUUCGGAGAAUUGAUGUGGCUAUUCAUAAAAUCAAAAUUAAGAUCCAUUCUCUCUAGAAGUAACUAAAAUGAAAGAGGAACAGAGAAUAAUAUCUUGUGCCAGAUUGGGAUUAAUGCACUGAUGAGAGACUCGAACAAUGAAACACAUGCAAAAAUGUUCUCUUGAUGCCCAUUUACUCCUAGGAGUACUACUGAACCUAACUGAAUUUAGGAGUAUUUACAAAACCUAGUAGUACUACUGAACCUAAUCGAACCCAAGUGCAUGUGUGGUGUACUAAAUGUAGGAGCUGCGUGUUUGUACUCCAUGGAUGCAAAUCAAAGGAGUUGGAGCCGUGUGUUUGUACUCCAUAGACGUAUUAUAAACUUUGUAGUCCAUGGGAAAUGAACAUAGCUGCAAAUUAAGAAAAACAAAGCAGUCGAGGAGAGAACGAGCUCACCUAUGAGGUUGCAGCCGAGGCAGUAGCACAGCUCGUCGCUGCAACUGAGCUCGACACGCUACCUCCAUGUGUCCGGCCUUUUCCGCGAGUUGCCCCAUGCGUCCAGCCUCCUCCGAGCACUGUCUCCUCACAAACAAGUAGGGGUAGAAAAAACAUGAAUUGUAACUUAUCAACCGAGCGGCAGCAACAAUCAGCGACAUAUCACCGAUCAACAACAGGACACUAACCGAAAAACGCAGCCAAUAGCAAAAUCAGGAGCAGGAUAAAACUAAUAAUAUAAUGAAAAGAAUGCCCACAAGAGAAGCAUGCACAAUCCUAUGAAAUCAGAAUCAAUUAGUUCACCUACUGACACCCAUCUACCAGGAUCAAACAAGGCGUCCAGGAUCAAACAAACAAAGCAAGGAAAGAUACAGCCCCUUCCUUGCAAUCUAGCUAGACCGCUAAUGUAACAACAAAGUUUCUAGAAGAAUCUAACAGCAAUCAUAUAUAAAAAAAGCGCAAGUAAAUAUGGUCAUGCAUAUUUUGAAGCCACCAAAGCUGUCCUUAUGUCGAAAAUUGAAAUAAACGAUGGUACAAAGAGGAGAAAUAAUGAAAAUAACAUGAAGGAGUCAGAACCCAGAAAUCAUAUGUAACUAAACUAUGAGAAACCAUGCAUAUUACCUCAAGAAUCUAUAUAGACCUAAGCUUCUCUUUAACAGGCAGAAAACCAAGCAAUGAAACAGAUAGCCUAGCUAAAUCCAAGGACCUACUUGACGGCAAGGCACCAACAAAACAAGAAAGCCCCCCAAAAGUCCUCCUCUGGAACCUAGCUACCUAAGAAUCUGCUGCACAAGAAGAAACCCAAGGCAUUUUUGCUAGCCAGUCCUACAAAAUGGUACAUGAACAUAAGAGGGGAAGGAGCUCAACCAGCAGGAGCAUGACCAGUGCGGCCACACGCGGCAGAGGUGAAGCAUAGAUCGCUCGGAAUCGCGUGUGUAAGGAAGAACCCAACAACACGGUACAUGCGAGUAGCACCAGCAAACAAAUCAGUAGGUUACUUCUAGGACAUAGCACCUCGAUCACUCUUUACAUGAACAAUCCAGCAUUAUCUACUAAAAAACUAUCAACAAAAAUCUUGUAGCAUUAUUAUUUGUAGCAUGUAAGAACAAAUAGCUGCAAAUGGUAACUUGCGAAAAAAUAGAAGUAGUAGUGUCACAGCAAAUUAAAACAAGCCAUUCAACCAUUGCGGGGAGCGGGUCAAAGUGCGACUUACUCUUAUAACCAGAUUAAAUCAAGGACCAACAACAAUAUAGAUACAACAAAGUGCGACUGUACAUAUUCUACAAAACACACCACUGCACCAUGUAGAUACAACACAUAUCAAUUAGAAGGGGCAACUUGUGCCCUGUUUAUGAGAGAAAGAAAUCAAAUAAUAUUUGUAACAGUAGAUUGAGAUAUGAUGAGAAUACCUAAUCAGUAAAGCAUCACUACCCAACCAUAAGCAUAAAGGAAGUAAUAUGAGCUGAAAUCUCUGAUGGCAUAAAAAAUUAGAGCAUGUCUGACAUAACAUUUUGAAGUUACAAAUGGUAAAUAAACUACAACNNNNNNNNNNNNNNNNNNNNNNNNNNNNNNNNNNNNNNNNNNNNNNNNNNNNNNNNNNNNNNNNNNNNNNNNNNNNNNNNNNNNNNNNNNNNNNNNNNNNNNNNNNNNNNNNNNNNNNNNNNNNNNNNNNNNNNNNNNNNNNNNNNNNNNNNNNNNNNNNNNNNNNNNNNNNNNNNNNNNNNNNNNNNNNNNNNNNNNNNNNNNNNNNNNNNNNNNNNNNNNNNNNNNNNNNNNNNNNNNNNNNNNNNNNNNNNNNNNNNNNNNNNNNNNNNNNNNNNNNNNNNNNNNNNNNNNNNNNNNNNNNNNNNNNNNNNNNNNNNNNNNNNNNNNNNNNNNNNNNNNNNNNNNNNNNNNNNNNNNNNNNNNNNNNNNNNNNNNNNNNNNNNNNNNNNNNNNNNNNNNNNNNNNNNNNNNNNNNNNNNNNNNNNNNNNNNNNNNNNNNNNNNNNNNNNNNNNNNNNNNNNNNNNNNNNNNNNNNNNNNNNNNNNNNNNNNNNNNNNNNNNNNNNNNNNNNNNNNNNNNNNNNNNNNNNNNNNNNNNNNNNNNNNNNNNNNNNNNNNNNNNNNNNNNNNNNNNNNNNNNNNNNNNNNNNNNNNNNNNNNNNNNNNNNNNNNNNNNNNNNNNNNNNNNNNNNNNNNNNNNNNNNNNNNNNNNNNNNNNNNNNNNNNNNNNNNNNNNNNNNNNNNNNNNNNNNNNNNNNNNNNNNNNNNNNNNNNNNNNNNNNNNNNNNNNNNNNNNNNNNNNNNNNNNNNNNNNNNNNNNNNNNNNNNNNNNNNNNNNNNNNNNNNNNNNNNNNNNNNNNNNNNNNNNNNNNNNNNNNNNNNNNNNNNNNNNNNNNNNNNNNNNNNNNNNNNNNNNNNNNNNNNNNNNNNNNNNNNNNNNNNNNNNNNNNNNNNNNNNNNNNNNNNNNNNNNNNNNNNNNNNNNNNNNNNNNNNNNNNNNNNNNNNNNNNNNNNNNNNNNNNNNNNNNNNNNNNNNNNNNNNNNNNNNNNNNNNNNNNNNNNNNNNNNNNNNNNNNNNNNNNNNNNNNNNNNNNNNNNNNNNNNNNNNNNNNNNNNNNNNNNNNNNNNNNNNNNNNNNNNNNNNNNNNNNNNNNNNNNNNNNNNNNNNNNNNNNNNNNNNNNNNNNNNNNNNNNNNNNNNNNNNNNNNNNNNNNNNNNNNNNNNNNNNNNNNNNNNNNNNNNNNNNNNNNNNNNNNNNNNNNNNNNNNNNNNNNNNNNNNNNNNNNNNNNNNNNNNNNNNNNNNNNNNNNNNNNNNNNNNNNNNNNNNNNNNNNNNNNNNNNNNNNNNNNNNNNNNNNNNNNNNNNNNNNNNNNNNNNNNNNNNNNNNNNNNNNNNNNNNNNNNNNNNNNNNNNNNNNNNNNNNNNNNNNNNNNNNNNNNNNNNNNNNNNNNNNNNNNNNNNNNNNNNNNNNNNNNNNNNNNNNNNNNNNNNNNNNNNNNNNNNNNNNNNNNNNNNNNNNNNNNNNNNNNNNNNNNNNNNNNNNNNNNNNNNNNNNNNNNNNNNNNNNNNNNNNNNNNNNNNNNNNNNNNNNNNNNNNNNNNNNNNNNNNNNNNNNNNNNNNNNNNNNNNNNNNNNNNNNNNNNNNNNNNNNNNNNNNNNNNNNNNNNNNNNNNNNNNNNNNNNNNNNNNNNNNNNNNNNNNNNNNNNNNNNNNNNNNNNNNNNNNNNNNNNNNNNNNNNNNNNNNNNNNNNNNNNNNNNNNNNNNNNNNNNNNNNNNNNNNNNNNNNNNNNNNNNNNNNNNNNNNNNNNNNNNNNNNNNNNNNNNNNNNNNNNNNNNNNNNNNNNNNNNNNNNNNNNNNNNNNNNNNNNNNNNNNNNNNNNNNNNNNNNNNNNNNNNNNNNNNNNNNNNNNNNNNNNNNNNNNNNNNNNNNNNNNNNNNNNNNNNNNNNNNNNNNNNNNNNNNNNNNNNNNNNNNNNNNNNNNNNNNNNNNNNNNNNNNNNNNNNNNNNNNNNNNNNNNNNNNNNNNNNNNNNNNNNNNNNNNNNNNNNNNNNNNNNNNNNNNNNNNNNNNNNNNNNNNNNNNNNNNNNNNNNNNNNNNNNNNNNNNNNGGCUCCUCUUUGAUCCGACAGCGCAGGUCAUCCGGCGGCUCGAUCCGACGGCCAAGAUCAGAUUAAGCAACCAGAUCCAACGGCCAGGAAUGCCAAGCGGCUGAGGAGGCUGGAGGAUGACUGGAAUCCUUAUUUCUCGAUUCGUUUGCCCCAUGCGAGUGCAUCCCCCAAAGGCCGCAACCUCUUCUACACCACCGCUUAUGGUUGAAGUUGUUGCCGUCCUCCCCCUGCUUCUUGGACGGUUCGCCUCUGCUUGAGCAUGACUGCGGCGUCCCGCCCAAUUGGCCUUGACAAUGCUCCUCGGCCUCAGCUAAAGCCACUGGCCCGUUCCACUGAUGUUUAGAAUUGCUGCUCAUGCAUCUGCUUGCCACUUUGCCGACAAUGCUACUCGUCGACCCGUGCAACUCUAGCAUGUUGGCUACUUGUCGCGUGCCUCUUGGACCAGAUAGUUUCUAAAUCGAUGCAUUGAAGUUAAACUACAUAGUUGACCUUUUAAGUUUGGGAGCACUUGGUCAGGCAGCUAAAAACUGGUUUUGUUUCAGUUGAUUUGCUCUCCCUCUUUCAACUAUCUUAUUUAAAUCCAAAGCCUCAUGUUUUUCAUCCUCCUGCCAUCGAAGCGACAAUGUUCUUUUUGAUGGAAAUAUUCCCUAGAGGCAAUAAUAAAAUGGUUAUUAUUAUAUUUCCUUAAUCAUGAUAAAGGUUUAUUAUUCAUGCUAGAAUUGUAUUAAUCAGAAACUUAAAUACAUGUGUGGAUACAUAAACAAAUACCAUGUCUCUAGUGAGCCUCUACUAGACUAGCUUGUUGAUCAAAAGAUGGUUAAGGUUGCCUAACCAUAGACAUGUGUUGUCACUUGAUAACGGGAUCACAUCAUUAGGAGAAUGAUGUGAUGGACAAGACCCAUCUAUUAGCUUAGCAUCUGAUCGUUCAGUUUAUUGCUACUGCUUUCUUAAUGCCAAAUACAUGUUUCUUCAACCAUGAGAUCAUGCAACUCCCGUAUAUCGGAGGAAUACCUUGUGUGCUAUCAAAGGUCACAACGUAACUGGGUGAUCAUAAAGAUGCUCUACAGGUAUCUCCGAAGGUGUCUGUGGAGUUGGCGUGAAUCGAGAUUGGAAUUUGUUACUCCGUAUGGCGGAGAGGUAUCUCUGGGCCCUCUCGGUAAUACACAUCACAAGAAGCUUGCAAGAAAAAUGACUACGGAGUUAGUUACGAGAUGAUGUAUUACGAAACGAGUAAAGAGACUUGCCGGUAAUGAGAUUGAACUAGUUAUGGAGAUAUCAACGAUCGAAUCUCGGGCAAGUAACAUACCGACAGACAAAGGGAAUUACGUAUGCUGUCAUAACGGUUUGAUCGAUAAAUAUCUUUGUAGAAUAUGUAGGAACCAAUAUGGGCAUCCAAGUUCCGCUAUUGGUUAUUUACCGGAGAGGUGUCUCGGUCAUGCCUACAUAGUUCUCGAAGCCAUAGGGUCCACACUUUUAACGUUCGUUGAUGAUAUAGUGUUCUAUGAGUUAUAUUAUUUGGUGACGGAAUGUUGUUCGGAGUCCCGGAUUAGGUCAUGGACAUGACGAGGAGCUCCGGAAUGGCCCGGAGGUAAAGAUCGAUAUAUAGGUCGAUGAUAUUUGGACACCGAAAGAGUUUUGGGAGGUACCGGGUAGUCAUCGGAUCAUCAGAAGUGGUUCCGGGAAGCCCCGGGAGGCUAUAUGGCUUAAUGGGCCAAAGGAGGAACACACCAGCCCACAAGGGGCUGGUGCGCCCCUCUCCCUGGCCGCCGGCCCUAGGGGAAGGAAAGGGGGAGGGUUGGCCCCUCCUUCCUUUCCCUCCUCAUGAGAGAAAGAAAAGGGCGGGGGGGGGGGGGCACCUCCCCCUGCCUUCCUCCCGCGCACAUACAAGGAAAGGGGGCGGCCAAGGGCAGGAGCCCAAGAGGGCUUCGGCCAUCCUUGGGGCACCUCCUGGCUGCCUCCCCUCUCCCCCACCUAUAUAUAUGUGGGAGGGGGCGCCACACAAGGACCACGUCGAUCUCUUAGCCGUGUGCGGCACCCCUCUCCAUAGUUUCAUCCAUCAGUCAUAUUUUCAUAGUGCUUAGGUGAAGCCUUGCGUAAAUAGCAUCACCACCACCAUCACCACUUCGCCCGUCUUGCUGGAUCAAGAUGGCGAGGACGUCACCGAGAUGAACAUGUGCUGAAAGCAAAGGUGUCGUAUGUUCGGUACUUGAUUGGUUGGACCGUGAAGAAGUUCGACUAUAUCAAUUGCGUUAAUAAAUGCUUCCGCUUACGGUCUACGAGGGUACAUAGACACACUCUCCCCUCUUGUUGCUAUGCAUCUCCAUGGAUACAUCUUGCGUGUGCAUAUUUUUUUUUUGUUUUCCAUGCGACGUUCCCCAACACUUCUUCCUCACUGAACCUAUGAUUUCUCUCCCUCCUAUUGAUAAUCCCCAAGUGCAGGGAAUCAUAGUAGCAAUUCCCAAAGGUGGAAGUGAUAAGUAUGGAGUGUCGAACCCACAAGGAGCUAAAGGUAAGAUCAAUAUUCUCUCAAGCCCUAUCUGCCACUGAUACGACUCUAGUGCACCGAACGUUUGCUUCCAACUAGCAACGAGAAAUAAAACUAUGUUGUGGGUAUGUAGAGGAUAACUUUGUAUGAUAUCGGAGAGCUAAAACAUAAAAGUAGGUGUUGUUAUCAUAAAGUUAGAAUAUAAUACUAAAUAUUAUAAAUAGCGAGUGUGGAAUAAUGGUGGAUCGGUGUGCGGAAUUGUCCUAGGCAAUAGUUAACAAGACUGAUAAUCACUAUUGCAGUUUCAUAUGAGGGAGAGGCAUAAGCUAACAUACUUUCUCUUCUUGGAUCAUAUGCACUUAUGAUUGGAACUCUAGCAAGCGUCGUCAACUACUGAAGAUCAUAAAGGUAACAACCAACCAUAGCAUUAAAGCAUCAAGUCCUCUUUAUUCCCAUACACAACAACCUACUUACUCGGAUUUGUGUUUUAGUCACUCACGCAACCCACUAUAAGCGAAUCAUGAACGUAUUGCAACACCCUACAGCGGGAAUCCCUCAUGCUUGCGCGACACGGAGGGCACCAUAGGACAGCAUCAAAGUAAAACAUACAACUCAUACCAAUCUAAAUCAUCAAUCAACCCAAAGACAAAAGAUAUCUACUCAAAACAUCAUAGGAUGGCAACACAUCAUUGGAUCAUAAUAUGUGGCAUAGAGCACCAUGUUCCAGUAGGGAUUACAGCGGGGUGCGGGAGAGUGGACCGCGUAAAAGAGAUGAGGAUGGUGAUGAUGAUGGUGAUGUUGAUGAAGACGAUCACCGCGGCGAUGAUUCCCCUCCCGAUGGCACUCCGGUGCCACCAAGAGAGAGCAGGAGAGGUUCUCCCCCUUGUGCUUCCUCCUCCAUGACUUUCCCCCUCUGGUCCUUGGCCUUGAUGGUGAUGAUGGCCCCUCCGAGAUCCUCCUCCAUGGCCCCCGGUGAUGAUGGCCCCCUCCGGCAGGGUGCCGGAGAGGUCCUAGAUUGAUUUCUCAUGGCUACAGAGGCUUGCGGUGGGGGAACUUAUGAUCUAGGUCAAUUCCCGAAGGUUUCUGUAUUUAUAGGAAUAUUUGGCGUUGGUUUCACGUCAGGGGGGUCUCUGGGCUGUCCACGAGAUAGGGGGCGCGCCCCCCACUCUCGUGGGCAGCCCGGGACUCUUCUGGCCCAACUCUGAUGCUCCGUGGUCUUCUUUUGGUCCAUAAAAAAUCCUCAAAAAUUGGCACGUCAAUUGGACUCCGUUUGGUAUCCCUUUUCUGUAAAACACAAAAACUAGGAGAAAACAGAAAUUGGCACUGGGCUCUAGGUUAAUAGGUUAGUCCCAAAAAUCAUAUAAAAUGACAUAUAAAUGCAUAUAAAACAUCAUAGAUGAAUAAUAUAAUAGCAUGAAUACUUCAUAAAUUAUAGAUAUGUUGGAGACGUAUCAGCAUCCCCAAGCUUAAUUCCUGCUCUUCCGCGAGUAGGUAAAUGAUAAAAGAAAUAAUUUAUGAAGUGUGAAUGCUAGUAGGUGGACAAGUUUGAUCAAUGAUAAUUUCAAUCAUCUUUUCUAGCAUCAAAAUGUGUCAUAAUAGUAGCUUAUCUCAUAAAACUUUUCAUGAUCAAGUAACAAUCUAUUCACAAUGUCAAGUAUGGUUCAGAAACUUCAUUGAGAACUAACAAACUAUAAUCUCAGUCAUUUAAGCAAUUGCAAUUUAUCAUAACAUCAGAAAGAGUCAAGAAUAGAGCUUUUUAGCAAGUCAACAUACUCAACUAUCAUAUAGUCUUCUACAAUUGCUAACACUCACGCAAUACUUGUGGUUAGGGAGUUUCAGCCAGACACUGAGAAAGAUAGGGGCUUAUUGUGUUGCCUCCCAACGUAUUCACCUUUAGGUGAUGUCAACUAUAAUAGCCCAUGCUAACUUACAUCCAAUUGGAUAUAUAUAUCAUGAUCUUUCAAACACAAGGAGCUUGCCAAAGGACAAAAUGAAAAAGGGAAAGGUGAGGAUCACCUUGACUCAAGCAUAAAGUAAAAACAUAAAGUAAAAGAUAGGCCCUUCGCAGAGGGAAGCAGAGGUUGUCUUGUGCGUUUAGGGUUGGAUGCAUAAAAUCUUAAUGCAAAAGAACGUCACUUUAUAUUGCCCCUUGUAUGUUGACCUUUAUUAUGCAGUCCGUCGCUUUUAUUGCUUCCACAACAAGAUCGUACAAAGCUUAUUUUCUCUGCACUAAUAAGUCAUACAUAUUUAGAUAGCAAUUUUUAUUGCCUGCAACAUGACCACUUGAAGGAUCUUACUCAAUCCAUAGGUAGGUAUGGUGGACUCUCAUGGCAAAACUGGGUUUAAGGAUAUUUGGAAACACAAGUAGUAUCUCUACUUAGUGCAAGGAAUUUGGCUAGCAUGAGGGGGAAAGGCAAGCUCAACAUACUUGGAAGGUCAAUGACAAUAUACUUUAACUGAGAUGUGAGAAAACACAAAUCAUUAUGUUGUCUUCCUUGUCCAACGUCAACUCUUUUAGCAUGUCAUAAUUAAUGAGUGCUCCCUAUCAUAAAAGAUGUCCAAGAUAAUAUAUUUGUAUGUGAACCUCUCUUUCCUUAUUACUUCCUAUUAAUUGCAACGAUGACCAAAACUACGUUUACCAACUCUCAACAACUUUUAUGCCUCAUACUGUUUAUAUGUGAAGUCAUUACUAUCCAUGUUAUAAUCAUAAUAAAACAUAUAGAAAUUCAGAUUCAUGACAUUCAAUUCAUUCCCCCAUUUACUCAUAGGAUGAACAUGAAGCACAUGAGUAAAUGACAAACUACUCCAAAAGAUAUGAGUGAAAGACAUGGAGUAGUCAAAUAAUUAACUAGCCAUGGGAGGGUUCCUUUUUUAUUCAAUAUUCAGAUCCAAUGAUUUUAUUCAAACAGCAAGUAAAAUCGAAAACACGCUCCAAGCAAAACACAUAUCAUGUGACGAAUAAAAAUAUAGCUCCGAGUAAGAUGUACCGAUAGUUUUGAAGACGAAAGAGGGGAUGCCUUCCGGGGCAUCCCCAAGCUUAGGCGCUUGAGUCUUCCUUGAAUAUUACCUUGGGGUGCCUUGGGAAUCCCCAAGCUUAGGGUCUUUCCACUCCUUAUUCUACUCAUAUCGAUAUCUCGCCCAAAACUUGAAAACUUCAAUCACACAAAACUUAAUGGAACUUCGUGAGAUAGGUUAGUAUGAUAAAGAGUAAACCAUGCACUUUGGUACUGUAAAAGACAAGGUUAAUAAUUGUUUUCACAUAAUGCAUACUGUACCAUAUCAUUUCUACAAUUUAUAUUGAGAAAUAUAAGCCAUAGAAACUAGAAAACAAGCAAACUAUGCAGUGAAAACAGAAUCUGUCACAAAUAGAACAGUCUGUAAUGAUCUGAGCAAUAACCAUACUUCUGCUACUCCAAAAAUUAUGAAAUAAAUUGGUGGACAUGAGGAAUUUGUCUACUAAUCUUCUGCAAAAAGAAUAAACUCAAAGUCACACUUCUGUAAAAAAUGACAGCUAAUCUCGUGAGCGCAAAGUUUCUAUUUUUUACAGCAAGAUCACAUUAACUCUCACCCAAGUCUUCCCAAAGGUCUUACUUGGCACUUUAUUGAAACAAAAGCUAUAAAACAUGAUUACUACAGUAGCUUAAUCAUGUAGACACACAAAAACAGUCAGGAUAAAUAUUGGGUUGUCUCCCAACAAGCGCUUUUAUUUAAUGCCUUUUAGCUAGGCAUGAUGAUUUCAAUGAUGCUCGCAUAAAAGAAAAGAGUUGAAACACAAAGAGAGCAUCAUGAAGAAUAUGACUAGCACAUUUAAAUCUAACUCACUUCAUAUGCCUGGGGAUUUUGUGAGCACACAACUUAUGGGAACAAGAAUCAACUAGCAUAGGAAGGCAAAACAAGUUUAACUUCAAAACUUAAAGCUCAUAGAGAGGAAACUUGAUAUCAUUGCAACUCCUACAAGUAUAUAUUCCCCCCUCAUAAUAGUUUUCAGUAUCAUCAUGGAUAACAACCUUUUUUCUCAUACUAAAUUGGAACCUCUUCCGAAAUAGUGGAAUACUAACUAAAGUUGACACUCUUCCAAAUCCACUUUCAUGAAUAUCGUACAAUGAUUCAACACCCUCCAAGAUAGUGGGAUCACUAAUUCCUAAAGUUGACACUCUUCCAAACCCACUUUAAAUUAUAGUACUAUUCAUACUCCAAAAGAUAUAAGUGAAGUUCCUGGAGCAUUCUAUAAUUAAUAUAGACUAGCCAAUAUCCAAGCUCAAAAUAUAUAAGUGAAGCGCACGAAGCAUUCUAUAAAACCAUACUCAAACGAUAUAAGUGAAGCACAAAGAGCAAUUAUCUAAGAUCAUACUUAAAAGAUAUAAGUGAAGCUAAUGAAGUAUAAAUGAAUGAAGAGCUCUCUCAUAUAUCAUGAUUCUUGAAGAAAAAUAAAAACACAAAGGACAUGAAUCGUGUGAACAAAGCAAAAACCGAGGUAUACCGAUAUUUGUUGAGGAAGAAAGAUGGGAUGCCAACCGGGGCAUCCCCAAGCUUAGAUGCUUGAGUAUCCUUUAAAAUAUUUACUUGGGGUGCCUUGGGCAUCCCCAAGCUUUAACUCUUGUCUCUCUUUAUUCUUCUCACAUCAAUAACUCCUCGUUCUUCAAACACUUCAUUCACAAAAACUUAAAAAAAAAACUUGUGAGAUCCGUUAGUGUAAUAAAGCAAACUACCACUUUAAGGUACUGUAAUUAACAAUUUAUUUAUUUUUAUUGGUGUUAAACCUACUGUAUUCCAACUUCUCUAUGGUUCAUACCCUUACAUACUAGCCAUAGAUGCAUCAAAAUAAGCAAACAAUACACGAAAAACAGAAUCUGUCAAGAACAGGACAGUCUGUAGUAAUCUGGAAGUUCAGUAAACUUCUGUAACUCCAAAAAUUAUGAAAUAAAAUUGAAAAUUUGAAAUAUUUGUACAGAAGUAAUGUGCAAAAAGUUUCAUACCCAUUUGUCUUUCCAGUAAAAAAUGUAAAUUCAUGCACUACAGCCAAAGUUUCUGUUUUUCUGCACAUAGUAAGCAAGCAAUCUUAUCAUACUAAAACCAAAGCUUGGCACACUAUUUUUAUAUUAAAAAGGAUAUAUACAAGGGUAUAAUUAUUUACAGAGAAACUUUCAUGAAAAAUUCUACAUUGUUUCCGUGAGCAUGAACUCAAGUGCUCAAGGUCGACCCUCACUUCUUCAAUGCAUAACUUUCCAAUCACUUCUCUUUUUGAAAAACUUUUUUAGGCAUGACAGGCAAGUAAUUCUUUUUUGGUAUUUUCAUUCUUUUUAAUUUUUGUGUAUGUUUCAUCCACAACUAAACAGAAACAAAAAGGGAAAAUAAAAUCUACUUAGUGAAGAAAGCAAACAAGCACACACGAGAAUAUCAACCCCACGCUAUCACUCCCCGGCAACGGCGCCAGAAAAGAGCUUGAUAAUCCCCAAGUGCAGGGAAUCAUCGUAGCAAUUCCCAAAGGUGGAAGUGAUAAAUAUGGAGUGUAGAACCCACAAAGAGCUAAAGGUAAGAUCAAUAUUCUCUCAAGCCCUAUCUGCCACUGAUACGACUCUACAUGCACCGAACAUUUGCUUCCAACUAGCAACGAGAAAUAAAACUAUGUUGUGGGUAUAUAGAGGAUAACUUUGUAUGAUAUCGGAGAGCUAAAACAUAAAAGUAGGUGCUGUUGUCAUAAAGUUAGUAAAUAAUACUAAAUAUUAUAAAUAGCGAGUGUGGAAUAAUGGUGGAUCGGUGUGCGAAAUUGUCCUAGGCAAUUGUUAACAAGACCGAUAAUCACUAUUGCAGUUUCAUAUGAGGGAGAGGCAUAAGCUAACAUACUUUCUCUUCUUGGAUCAUAUGCACUUAUGAUUGGAACUCUAGCAAGCAUCCGCAACUACUAAAGAUCAUUAAGGUAAAACCCAACCAUAGCAUUAAAGCAUCAAGUCCUCUUUAUUCCCAUACGCAACAACCUACUUACUUGGUUUGUGUUUCAGUCACUCACGCAACCCACUAUAAGCGAAUCAUGAACGUAUUGCAACACCCUACAGCAGGAAUCCCUCAUGCUUGCGCGAUACAGAGGGCACCAUAGGACAACAUCAAAGUAAAACAUACAACUCAUACCAAUCUAAAUCAUCAAUCAACCCAAAGACAAAAGAUAUCUACUCAAAACAUCAUAGGAUGGCAACACAUCAUUGGAUCAUAAUAUGUGGCAUAAAGCACCAUGUUCAAGUAGGGAUUACAGCGGGGUGCGGGAGAGUGGACCGCGUAAAAGAGAUGAGGAUGGUGAUGACGAUGGUGAUGUUGAUGAAGACGAUCACCGCGGCGAUGAUUCCCCUCCCGAUGGCACUCCGGUGCCACCAAGAGAGAGGAGGAGAGGUUCUCCCCCUUGUGCUUCCUCCUCCAUGGCUUUCCCCCUCUGGUCCUUGGCCUUCAUGGUGAUGAUGGCCCCUCCGAGAUCCUCCUCCAUGGCCUCCGGUGAUGAUGGCCCCCUCCGGUAGGGUGCCGGAGAGGGCCUGGAUUGAUUUCUCAUGUCUACAGAGGCUUGCGGCGGCGAAACUUUUGAUCUAGGUCAAUUCCCGAAGGUUUCUGUAUUUAUAGGAAUAUUUGGCGUUGGUUUCACGUUAGGGGGGUCUCCGGGCUGUCCACGAGAUAGGGGGCGCGCCCCCACUCUCGUGGGCAGCCCGGGACUCUUCUAGCCCAACUCCGAUGCUCCGUGGUCUUCUUUUGGUCCAUAAAAAAUCCUCAAAAAUUGGCACGCCAAUUGGACUCCGUUUGGUAUCCCUUUUCUGUAAAACACAAAAACAAGGAGAAAACAGAAACUCGCACUGGGCUCUAGGUUAAUAGGUUAGUCCCAAAAAUCAUAUUAAAUGACAUAUAAAUGCAUAUAAAACAUCAUAGAUGAAUAAUAUAAUAGCAUGAAUACUUCAUAAAUUAUAGAUUGGAGACGUAUCACCUAUCCUUAGCUGAUUUGGCUGCCUCAAAUUCAUUGAGUACUCGUCUGAGCAAUUACCAAGGACUUACUUCUUGUUGCAUUGCUUCAAGAGAUCUUGGAUGAUAGGUCCAUAGUCCGAGAUUUGCACACCACUCGGUGGCGCAUGGUUGACUUGAUCAAUAUAACCAGGCCAUCGGUUGCAUUGGUCUUGCAUGGUACCUCCAUUGGUUACCAAGAGAGCCUUGGAUGUGGCGUUAUGUGACUUCCAUUAUGUUGAUGUAGUACUCUACAAUUCUACCCGAGAGUCGGUCCUUCGAUUGAUCUGGUCCAAUUGAUGCAUCAACUGACAUGUUUGUCCAAGCGUUACACAAUGCAAUAUAUUAAUCUUGGCAAUACUUGUGAGUCCUAGAUAUUGAUGGUGCCCUCGCGCUUGUUGUGACUCCAUAGAACUAUCAACAACUUCCGGAUCCUCCUUGGCGUCGGCCUCCACUUUUGGCACAUAAUCCUCCUCGGGGUCUUCUUGUUGGUCAGACACCGAGUUAUAGUUGAGAUCUUCAAGCCCAAGCAUAUGUGACUCCUCCAAAGAUGAACAAAGUUUGUUUGUGUUCUUCUCCGCACUAUGACAACAAGCACAUCACCCUAGGGCCGCAAGCAAUCACCAUACAAUGCACCGAUCGAUAUGAAAAUACAUUUAUUUACCUUGAUGGCAUUUGUUUGACCACUUGGCGGCCACGACCCUUGGUGAUGGCAGUGGCGGCCGGACGAGCAACCGUAAGGGUGGCCGAAGAUGUGGUGCGAGGCACCAGAGGCAUCUUAUUCUUAUUAUCCUCGCUAUAUCCUCGGUGAGCGCUGACGCGGGUCUCAUCGACCUCCUUGCCCGCUUGUCAGAGGCUGGAGCAGCGGGAGGGCUGCCUCACAUCUUCAAAGAAGCAGUGGUCUUUCCACCGACCUUGCUACCGGCGAUGCUUGCCUGUGUGGUGGCAUGUGUGGGUUUUAAGUGCCUAGCUUCUUCCUUGUUGUGGGCAGCGGCACAGGGCUCAUUUCCUGAUGCGUCGCGCUGGCGGUGGUGGCUGGCAAGGUGGUGGAAGGGUCUUACAUGUACAUCAUUUUGUCCUCGGGUAGGUAGCCGUGUCCGGCCUUCUUGCCGAUGGCGUUUGCACUGCACUCGCAGGUCUUCCUCACAUUCGUCUGCAACUUGACAUGAAAAUAUUUCUGCCACAUGCCAAAGUGGGACUCGACAUAGAGAAAAGCCUCACACAAGGUGAUGAAGCAUGCAAUGUGAAAGAUAGCAAUGAGGGAAGGUAGUGGACUUUGAAGUAGUAAAAAUGCAGGAAACCCCAGAAGGACAGAUUUAUCAGAAAAGCCCAAUCCGUGAAUCAAAAAAGGGAUGAAAUUGACACUCUUAUGCGGAUCAGGCUAUGGGUACACCUCUUCUCGGGCGUCGCCAUUCUCGGUCACGAUGAUGGGAGAGCACGCGAGGACCACGAUAGCUGCGGAAGAUACCCAUCUGCGGCAAGGCGGUCCAACUGGCCACGCUAGUGGAGGGCAUCCAUUUUCCCUUUGUCUUGGAGGUGACCUUGGCUACAACAGUGACAAUCUCCUUUCCAGUGCUGACCAUCUUUCCAUCCGUGGUGAGCUUGUAGCACAUGGCGGCACGGUGGUGAUGUUGGGUUGUGCUAGAGCGAUGGUGCUAUGGCACAGUGAAGUAGCAGGACAACGACAUAGCGCAAAAGCGGUGGAGCUGUUGUUGUGCCAGGAAGAAGAUGAGAACAAGGGAAACAAUAGCAUGAGCUCCCCCUCGCUCCAUCCAUUCCCUUAUAUACGAGGGUGGAAAUGUGAAAUGGCGGCAUGCAAUCAACGCCACCCAGUGGUAAAUCUCUUCAUACCCCCGCGAUGGCGCUAAGUGCACGUGGGGAUUGAGGUGACUCUGUUAAGUGCGUGCGAGAAUCAGGCAUGCUUCCUCUGUUGAUGCAUGGGACGUGGAGUGGGUGGGACCUAUACCCACUCAUGCAUGUCACAUUGACCGCUAGGUCAAGUCUGACACAUGGUCCGGUGGGACCAACUGAUGAGACAGGUCUGCUCUAACAGGACUGUACAGUUUGAACCAUAAAGACGCUAUGCGGGAAUUCAACCCAUGAGGAGCAGACUGCGCGGGAAACAUUUUCGGCACAGGUAGGCUAUCUUCAUCAAUGGCUUAAGACCGAGGUUAAUUACGCUACCCCAAAGGCGGUCUGGCAGCUUGAGACCUAUUACGUGAAGAUGUUGUUAAUUAGGGAGGCUUGGAAGAACAAGUUUCAACCUCGACGACCUAAAGACAAUGUGCAACUUGGUGUUGGCAAGCUUGAACACCAAAUUAGGGCUACUGAUGGUGUCACGGCCCAGGGGUACCUCACCAUGUCAGUUCUCGGCCUGGUGGAGCCCUAGGUCGGUUUCAUCCUGGCUCACUUUGGGCAGCCCGUGACAUUUAUAUGGAAGACUCCAGACGACUUAAUGUACAAGACAAGUGUACGUGAGCUGAGGAGGAGUCUACCUCCACCGAUCUAGUCGACUAGGAUCUGUAAGCCUAGGACCCCUGGUAUGUUGUAUAAGCUGGGGUCGGGCUCGUCGAGAGAUCAUCAGGUAGGUUCCCCUUUGGUAUAUCAUAUCUAAAGCUAAUUUGAUUGAUUUACAAUGAUCCUUUUUUGCAUGAGUAUAGGGAUACAUUUAACCAUGGGGCUCGUAGCUUUCCCAAGGUGGCCACACGAUAUUGGUUCGAUAUCAUGUAUGGCCUCUCUAGCCAGCAUCUUUGCUUGUAUCCUGAACAAUCCUAGAUCUAUAAAGAAAAUCAUGGGUGUAGAAUAAUCCCACACCUGGCAGAUCAAGAUUGGUCGAACAUGAUCCUUAUUUAUAGGAGACAUCUAUUUCUCAAUUGACUAAAAUUUAACGCAAAACUGAUUUAUAAAUUUCUGUAUGAAUCUAAGCAAAAUUUUACCAUGUUGUAAAAAAUGUGUUCAUCUAGUGCAAAGCAGAUGUAGUUUUAACUAAGGCACCACUGAAUUUACAAGUUUCUUCAUACUGAUUUAAAAGUACUGAGAGUGAUAUAAUAGUUCAUUCAGGCGGAAAUCCAAUUUGGCUCUCGGGUGCACAUGCUAUUGCGCGCGAAAAUAAUUUGGAAAUGUCAAAACAAAUCCAACAAAAAAUUUAUGUGUUCAUAGUCACAUCCAAAUGCUACUUACAAACUCUUAGGCAAAAACUUUAAGCAUUUUGGCCAGUGAAAAAAAUAAAAUUAAAUACCAAAUAUUAAUAACAAAUGUCACCUAAAAUUUGUUUUUUUUUUCACCGACGAAACACUGCCGCUCCGUUCCACAUGAAAAUUGUCAAGGAUGACACUAACACGAACAUUUUCAAAAAGAAACUCAUAUUUUUUUAAUGUUUACAAUUUUUUUAUGGUUACUGUUCAUGCAGGAGGAUGUGCUCCCAGGAGCCAAAACGCCUCCCCCGUUGUUCAGGUUAGUUAAAAAAUGCAGUAUUACUCUCAGAGUUGUUGGUUUGAUGGUUAUGUCUAUUGAGCGCUAAGAAAUUAUACGACAAUUGAGAAUUAGGAAAACCACUUUUCAUAUCACAGAAACUUAAAUCGAGAUUUCUAUAAGUUUAUUGAGUUGUGUAGUCCAGCCAAAAUCAGUUUGUAUAAUUUAUUAUAAUUUUCCAUAUCUUAGUAGCACAAGGUUUUGGCACAUGAAAGUACAUUGUAUCCAUCAUUUCCAUAGCAUUCCCCAUUCGCAACAGCACCAUAUGGAACGGUUGCAAUGACUUUUUUCAAAGUUGUAACCACGCCAUUCACAGCUAAGCUUGCACAUAGCAACAUUGUUGGGCGUUUAUAUCUGGCAUGCUCGGAAAGGAGUACACGAAGUCCACAAUCCAGUUGUACCUACAAACAACAAGGUAUAUAUAGCAUCCCCGUUCAUAUUAGCAUAUGUAGUAUAAGUUGCAUGAGUUUAGAUUAUAUGAAUAUCCAAGGUACAUCAUACAUAAUUGGACUAUUGUAAACAUAAACAAAGAGUGUACCUUUGUUUAUCGUAGUUGCUUGACAUGACCAUAAAGUGCUAGACAUCAUCAGAAGAACUACGAAACAUAUAGCCUAUGUGUUGUUCUUGAUAGGUGCCAUGAGGAGUGGUUUCUUAUUCCUUUUUCCUCCUAUACCUGUAUUCUUUAUGGGCGAUAUCUCUCAACCUAUAUUUCUUAUUGUGUUAUUUAUUAGAGGCAUAAAUCUCGAAGGACCCAUUCUUGCUCUUAUAUUAU